UCUUUAUUUUCUCCAUGCUUUGCACUUUUGCNNNNNNNNNNNNNNNNNNNNNNNNNNNNNNNNNNNNNNNNNNNNNNNNNNNNNNNNNNNNNNNNNNNNNNNNNNNNNNNNNNNNNNNNNNNNNNNNNNNNNNNNNNNNNNNNNNNNNNNNNNNNNNNNNNNNNNNNNNNNNNNNNNNNNNNNNNNNNNNNNNNNNNNNNNNNNNNNNNNNNNNNNNNNNNNNNNNNNNNNNNNNNNNNNNNNNNNNNNNNNNNNNNNNNNNNNNNNNNNNNNNNNNNNNNNNNNNNNNNNNNNNNNNNNNNNNNNNNNNNNNNNNNNNNNNNNNNNNNNNNNNNNNNNNNNNNNNNNNNNNNNNNNNNNNNNNNNNNNNNNNNNNNNNNNNNNNNNNNNNNNNNNNNNNNNNNNNNNNNNNNNNNNNNNNNNNNNNNNNNNNNNNNNNNNNNNNNNNNNNNNNNNNNNNNNNNNNNNNNNNNNNNNNNNNNNNNNNNNNNNNNNNNNNNNNNNNNNNNNNNNNNNNNNNNNNNNNNNNNNNNNNNNNNNNNNNNNNNNNNNNNNNNNNNNNNNNNNNNNNNNNNNNNNNNNNNNNNNNNNNNNNNNNNNNNNNNNNNNNNNNNNNNNNNNNNNNNNNNNNNNNNNNNNNNNCACUUUAUUCACUUUCUUUUUGUGUUUUUCUUUUGUUCUUUCUUUCUUUUUCUUUGUCUUUUAUUUUCUUCAUUUCUUUUCACUUUUUGUACCUUGAUACCACUUUCAAACUCCUUGUCUCUCCCCCAAACUUAUGUUUUCACCAUUUGUUUCUCAUGAGUGCUAAGGAAAGCUCGGGUGCCAAGAGAGCGUCACUAUCAAACUUGUAAAGACUUGUAACAUGGUUAUCAAAUAAAAAAGGCUUUAGUAUCAAAUGGGUUGACUAGGGAUAACAUCAUUGGUGGGCCAUGGAAAGUUUUAAAACGGGUCAAGGAGAGCCUACAAUCACUUCUCAAGCCAAGCAAAACUUAGAAUUUUGCCUAGAAACACAUUCGGGGAAAGUUCUAGACCAUUCGCACGGGUACUUGGACUUGUAACAAAAUAUCUCACCUCUCACACAGCUGGAUUGUUAAAGAGAAUAGAGUCGAGGGCCCACAACAACCAUAUUCAAGAUUGAAAAUCGCUAAUGGUUUAACUAAACCACUCGAUGAUUGCCUAAGUCAACACAAGAGUCACAAGGUCACUAACUUGAGCCAUUUCUUUUUAAGAGCUUGUUUUUAAGCAAGUACUAAGUGAAACAUGCUUGACCCUUUUAUUCAUUAUUACUUCUGUUUUUACCUAAACAUCAAAAACGGAUUCAAUCCCUUAAGAAGGUUGUCAUUCCAUCCAUCGUUGAGAAGAGUCACUCGGUUCACACAAAACCUACCUUUGAAAAGAACCGUGGCAUUAAGAAAACCAAAGGCUUAUUAAUCACUUAAACGUAAAAAGAAGCUACCAAAUAAAAAAAAAAGCUAUUAAAGUAAAUAAGAAGCUAGACUACUAAGAAACAAAAAUAAAGAAGUUGUGAAAUAAACUACUGAAAGCAAGAAAAAUGAAUAUAAAAACCAAGAAUGGGGAAUAGAAUAUAUACAUCAAAAGAGAGGGAGGAAUAUAUACAUAAUGAAAAAGAAAAUAAAGAUAAAAAUAGAGUAUUAUAGUUAUUACAGGCCAAUGUCAUAUCAAAUCAACCAAAAUAGACCACCCCCCUGAAUAAGAAUAAGCAUUGUCCUCAAUGCUUAACAAAAAUCAAAAUAAGGAAGGGUAGAGAGUAAAGAAAACUCCCUAUGUGGUCUUAGUGUGCAUGGAAGCAUCACCACCCUCGGGAUCCUCCAACUGGAUCUCAUUAUCCUCUGCUCGGGGAGUAACGGGGUUGGUGAACAACUGACACACCUCCUCAGCAGUAUAGGCAGCAAGGUCUGGCUCGUCAGACUGGCCAGUUGGUGCCUCUGUUGAUGGUGAUGUUGGGUCUGCAGGUACUGAUGGAUCUGUCUCCAUCAGUAGGUCAAAUGGAAUAUCACUAGCUGCUGCAAUCUUGGUCACUUUUUUCCUCAAUCUGUCCACUGAUUUCUUCGAGGCCUGAGAUCUCCUUAUCUUCUUCACCUGUUAACCCAACUUCUCAAUAGCUCCCCCAUGCGCCACCAUUGUAUCCAUAAUGGUAUUCUGAUUGUCCAAGAUCUUCUUCAAUAUUUCCUCCACUAAUGGAGGAACCUGUGGUACUGCUAGGUUAGAAGACUGUGCUGCAAAAACACUGGAUAUAUCAGACAACUUUGAAAUAGCUGUCGGCAUCCAGUUAUUGAGACUCGCCAAUGUCUGGGAGACUCGCAGCGCAGUGAGUGGAUAUGUGGAUGAGGAAGGCACUGGUACUGAUGUUGAUGGUCUACAAGAUGAAGGUGAUGGCAUGUCAUUUGUCUCGGUGGAAGGACCGGCUGUUGUGGAAGUCAUGGCAGCUGCACAAGGCAUGGGAGGUGUAGAAGGCUCAGCAGCUGAAUCUGUAACCACCACCAAUGGCUCAUCAGACUGGAUAACGGUAGCAGUUGCCUUACCCUUGAACUUUGGGUUCCCCAGACCUUGCAAAGAGUACCAUGAUAGGGGCUUUUUGGCCCGCACCUUUGAAUCAAAACUCCUCGGCUCCACCUUUGCAUCCGUGAGAUAUAUUGUGAGGGUGUUGAGAUGUGGGUAGGAACUUUCACCUUUUCUGACAACCACUGACAUGUUGGCCGACAUGAUGGCACCCACAUUGAUUGGGCACCCAGCCAUGAUAGAUGCUACCAAAACUGCCCGGGGGAUUGGAAGAUUACUCUCAUUCUGGCUCAGGUCUGCACGACUACACACAAAAGCUUGCCACCCUUUUGCUUCAAAAUUGAGGGUGGCCCGUGCAAUGGGAACCCCCAUUGUGAUCCACGGUAGUGGUGGUCCUGGAGCUACUAAGAUAUCCGCUAGCCAAGGGCAAGCUGCAUCACCCAUAGAAAGCUUCUCCAAGUACUGAACUGGCUCUACCUCAUCGAACCCCAAGUAAGUGUUCAGAGUGCUUUGGUCAAAUCUGACUUUCAAGUUCCUCACCUUGGUCACUUUGGUACUCUUCUUGAAGUGUGCCACAUUGACAUAGAACUCCCGUACCAAAUGCUCCUUGGCAUCCAUAACACUUUGGGUGAACCACAUCCACCCCUUGCGCUCCCUGAACUGUAUAAGCAUAUUUGGAUUGUAUCUAUCCAAAUCCUUCAAUAAGAACUGUCGCUCAAGUGUUAGCGAUCUCCGGGGCCACCAUUCUCUGAACUUUGUGAAGGCUGUCAAGCUCACAGACCUAUCUUCCCAUGCCUCCUUCUUUUUCAACCUCUCUAGGUUGCCCACUCUAGUGUCACCUCCUCUACCAUCAUCAAGAAUAUCAUCAUCAUCAUAAAUUGCAACUGGUGCAGGGGGAGUGUGUGUAGAGGAGGGCUCUGAACCCUAGCUGCCAGCAUCUGAACCCUCAGAAGAACUUGUUAUGGUGGAGGGUUCAUUGCAGAGUUAGUAUCUCCCAGUGAAUUGUGGUGGUUUGGACUGGGCCGCAGGUUGUACCUCCACUGAGUGAGCCUCGGAGGCUUCCCUAGAUGGGACAUAAGAGUUUGAUUCUGAGGGCUCUGUGGCCCUACCUCUCCAGUGGUUUGAUUCUUGGCUAUUGCUUUCAGCUGUACUACGAGAGGUUGAGUACUCUUGCCUCGGCCUCGGGAGGGUUCACCCCUCCCUUUAGAAGGAUCACCUCUACCUCUUGAUCGAACCAUUGUCUGCAAUACAAAGCAACAUGAGUCAGUUAAAGUCCGAAAGCAGUGUGUUAACAAUUGCAGGAAAAAUAGUGUGUAUAUGUGAAAGGUCGGUCCUCACAAUAUUGAGUACGACCGCAGAUUGCCUUUUGCGGACCGCACAAUGUUGAAGUAUGGUCGCACAAAUGCAAUGCGAACUGCACAAUUUUAAGUGCGGCCGCACAAGACCAGGCUCACACUACUGGUUCUCUAAGUUGAAUCUGUGGUCGCACACAUGUUUAUGCGGACCACACAAUUUCAUGUGCGGCCGCACAAUUCAAAAUAAUACGGCACUCAACUUAGGUUUUGCAAUUUAUUGCACAAUUUAGACAUGUUAUUGGCAAAUUAAACAUGAUAUAUGAUUUACCCAGCCCCCAAUGAGUGCAUAUGAGAUUAUCCACACAAUUCUAAGCACACAUGGUGAACAUUUGACAUUUUAGGCCUAAAAAUAACUAUACUACUUUAAAAAAAAUUAAGAAAACUUGAAAAAUCUAAACAUGAAUUGAACAUACCAGUGAUGAAGGAUGCAAGGUAGAAUAUAGGCUGAUUAAAUGAGUGUGGAAUGUGAAAUAAUUUUUUUGCACUGUGUUUGCCUUAGUCUCAAGAGUUCAGAGUGCGUAAAGUUUGAAACAGUGCUAUGAGGGCCUAUUUAUAGGUUGACCAAAUUAGGUCAAAAAAUGAAGUUGAGUGCAGCCGCACAUUUUUGAGUGCGGUCCGCACUCUUUACCUGAACCCUUGUGAAGAUGUGCAGUACGCACAAAAUUGAGUGUUACCACAGAUAUUUGUGCGGUCCGCACAAUUUCGUGUGCGGCCGCAGAAUAGCCAUUUCUCUGCAAUGCCAAACUUCAAAGAGUUGCAUUUUGUUGGUCUCUAGUUGUGCGGCCGCAGACUCCCUUCUGUUGUGGCAUGCAAGAUUGUGCGGUCCGCACUCUUUCAACACUUAGCCAUUUUUUCUAGCACAAAACCUGCAAUGCACACUCAUUCCUGCAAUUCACUUCAAAACCAGUUAGCACAAACAGAACCUAUCUAAAAAGAAGAAAAAGAGAAAUAAAAAGAAACAUGGGUUGCCUCCCAAGAAGCGCCUGAUUUAACAUCGCGGCACGACGCAGAUUACCAUCAAUCAAUUGAAAUGAAUUAAUUCCAUGACGUGGCCAUCAUCAACGUUUCCAAGAUAAUGCUUCACUCGGUGACCAUUGACUCGAAACACUUCAUCAUUUUUAUUCUUUAAGUAUAAUGUACCAAAGGUUGUCACCUUCACAACCUCAAAUGGACCACUCCACUUAGACUUCAACUUUCCUGGAAACAUCCGUAACCGAGAAUUGAACAAUAACACUAGAUUACUUUCUUUGAACUCCUUGUUCCGGAUGUACUUGUCAUGGAAGUACUUCAUCUUCUCCUUGUAUAAGUAAGAACUUGUAUAUGUAUGGUACCGGAAUUCAUCAAGCUCAUUCAAUUGUGCCAGCCUCGGGUUAGUUGCGACACUCAAGAUUAAGCUUUUUCAAUGCCCACAUAGCCUUGUGCUCAAGUUCCACCGGAAGGUGCCAAGAUUUCCCGAACACCAACCGGUAUGGAUACAUCCUAAUCGGUGUUUUGUAAGCCGUCCUAUAAGCCCAUAGAACAUCAUCAAGUUUCUUCUACCAAUACACACGGUUGGCAUUAACGGUCUUUGACAAAAUAUUCUUGAUCUCCCGGUUGGAGACUUUCACUUGUCCGCUUGCUUAAGGAUGAUAGGUGUCGAGACUUUGUGAGUGACACCAUACUUGGUGAGUAAGGUAUCAAAAGAUUUGUUGCAAAUGUGCGAUCCUCCAUCACUUAUAAUGGCCCUUGGAGUGCCAAAUCUUGUAAAGAUAUUCUUUUUCAAAAAUGCCACGACACUUCAAGCUUCAUUGUUGGGAAGAGAAACGACCUCAACCCACUUUGACACAUAGUUCACAGCUACCAAAAUGCAUGUGUUCCCAUAGGAGUUUACGAACGGUCCCAUGAAAUCAAUCCCCCACACAUCAAAAUGUUAAUUUCCAAGAUGGUGGUGAUGGGCAUCUCAUCUUUCUUAGAAAUCCCACCAACCCUUUGACAUGCAUCACAACACUUGACUAGAUCACUAGCGUCUUUGUAGAGGGUAGGCCAAUACAAUCCACAACUCAACAUUUUUUCCGUCAUUCUUGCUCCACCAUGGUGACCACCAUAUUUUAAAGAGUGGCAAGCCUAAAGUAUUUCCACUUGUUCUUCCUCCGGCACACAUCGUCGAAUCACACCAUCGGUGCAAAUCCGGAAGAGACAUGGUUCAUCCCAAUAAUAGUCAAGGCAAUACCAUUUGAGCUUCUUACUUUGGUUUGAAGAGAACUCAUUCAGUACAAUACGACUCACAAGAUAAUUAGCUAAGUCAGCGAACUACGACAUCUCGGUCAUUGAAAUGGCUAGAAGUUGCUCAUCGGCGAAGGAUUCAUUAAUCUCAAGGCCAUCAUGUGGCCUCCCCUCCUCCUCAACAAGUGGUCCGCCACUUGGUUUUCACUGCCUUUGCGGUCUUUAAUUUCUAGAUAGAAUUCCUGCAAUAAAAGCACCCACCGCAUUAACCUCGCCUUUGAAUCCUUUUUGCUUAUUAGGUACCGAAGUGCCGCAUGAUCGGUGUGGAAAAUCAUCUUUGUACCCAUCAAGUACGGGCGAAACUUCUCCAUAGCAAAGACAAUAGCAAAGAGCUAUUUCUCGGUCACUAUGUAAUUGACUUGGGCAUCAUUCAUGGUCUUACUUGCAUAGUAGACCAGCUGGAAGAUUUUGUUGAUACAUUGUCCCAAACCUACUCCAACCACCACAUCACUUGUAUCACACAUGAUCUCAAAAGGCAAGCUCCAAUCCAGUGCUGUGAUAAUAGAAGUAGUAGUCAAUUUGAACUUUAUCAAUUCGAAUGCCUUCAUGCAAUCCUUGUUGAAAUAAAAUUUAGCAUCCUUCUCCAAAAGCUUACAUAAGGGGUUCACCAAUUUAGAAAAAUCCUUGAUGAAACGGCAAUAGAACUCCGCAUGACCCAAGAAGCUCCUCACUCCCUUCAUGGAUGUAGGGGUGGGAGCUUAGAAAUCACCUCUAUUUUAGCCUUGUCAACCUCAAUACCAUUCUUUAAAAUUUUGUGGCCAAGGACAAUGCCUUCCUCGACCAUGAAGUGACACUUCUCCCAAUUGAGCAUUAAGUUUGUCUCCUCACAUCUUGCCAAGACCUUAUCCAAGUUUUUCAAGCAAUCAUUAAAGGAAUUCCCAACCAUAGAAAAAUCAUCCAUGAAGACCUAAAGAAAAUCCUCCACCAUGUCGGUGAAGAUAGCCAUCAUACACCGUUGAAAAGUCACUGGUGCAUUGCAUAACCCAAAUGGCAUCCGCGAGAAUACGAAAGUACCAUAGGGACAUGUGAAAGUAGUGUUCCCUUGGUCUUCUGGAGCAAUAAGAAUUUGAUUGUAGCCAGAAUAUCCAUCAAGGAAAUAAUAGAAAGCACGGCCGGCCAACCAAUCAAGCAUCUGAUCAAGGAAGAAAAGUGGGAAAUGAUCUUUCCUUGUGAUUUUGUUGAUCUUGAGAUAGUCCAUACACACUCUCCACUUGGUCACCAUUCUUGUAGGAAUCAACUCGGUCUUGUCAUUGGUGACCACAGUCAUGCCCCCUUUCUUUGGGACACAUUUCACCGGAGAGGUCUACGAGCUAUCGGAAAUGGGGUAAAUAACCCCAGCAUCCAAUCAAUUUAUGAUCUCCUUCUUUACCACCUCUUGCAUUGCUUUAUUUAGUAUUAUUUGAUGUUCAACAUACGGUUUGAAAUCCUCCUCCAAAAUAAUCAUGUGCAUGCAAAAGGCAGGGCUUAUACCCCGAAUAUCCGCCAAUGUCCAUCUGAUAGCUUUCUUCCUCUUUUGUAGCACCGCCAAAGUAGAGUCUACCUGCACGUUAGUUAAACAAGAGGAAAGGAAAAGCGCUAAAGUAGAACAUGGGCUAAGGAAUUCAUACCUGGGAUGUGGAAGCUAUGGCUUUAACUCCAAAGUGAGAGGCUCCUCAAUUGAGGGCUUUGUUGGAGGAGUCUUUCGGUUUUCAAGAUCUAAGGACAAUUUGCGGGCUUCAUAAGUGUACGACCCCAUUCAUUGCAAUGCAUUCACACAUUCCACAUAGUCAUCCUUCUCAUCAUCAUCAUCAUGAUUAAGCAAUAUGGCCUACAAAGUAUCAUCAACAUUCAUCAUAGCACUAGCAUCAUCAUCAAUCACCUCGGUCACCAAGUCCACAAAUGAACAAACAUCAUUGCUAUUCGGUUGCCUCAUAGAUUUACACACAUGGAAAACCACAUUUUCAUCACCCACCCGGAAGGUAAGCUUGCCGGCUUCCAUAUCAACAAGUGUCUUCCCCUUAGCAAGGAAAGGUCUACCCAAAAUAAUAGGCACCACAUAGUCCACUUCACUAUCAAGAAUCACAAAGUCUGCUGGGAGGAUGAACUUAUUAACUCGAACCAACACAUCAUCAAUAAUACCCAAUGGUCUCUUUAUAGUACGAUCUGCCAUUUAUAGCCUCAUAAAAGUGGGUCUUGGUUGCCCAAUCCCAACGUUUUAAAAACCGAGUAGGGCAUCAAGUUGAUACUCACCCCUAGAUCACAAAGAGCUUUGGAAAAGUAGGCGCUUCCAAUGGUGCAAGGGAUUAUGAAAGCGCCAGGAUCUUCCAAUUUAGGAGCCAUUGAGUGCACAAUUGCGCUCACUUGAUAUGUCAUUUUUAUAGUCUUACAAUUCAUCGACAUCUUCUUUGUCACCAAAUCCUUCAUUAACUUUACAUAUCCAGGCAUUUGCUCCAAAGCCUCAACCAAUGUCACAUUAAUAGAUAAUCUCUUCAUCAUGUCAAUGAACCUUUUUGAUUUGGUUCUAACCAUUUUUUUUUUUGGAAAGCCUUUGAGGGUAUGGAGGAGGAGGCCUUGGCAUUGGUGCCUUAGCCUUUGGCACUACUGGUUCCGGUAUGUCAACAAUGCGUUCCCUAGACGGGUUCACUUCUUCUUGAGUCUCCUCCACAUUUUCAUCAAUAUCAAUUCUCCCUUCGUCAUUUUCUUCCACCAUACUAUUUGGAAUCUCAUCUUCUUGAAUCACUUGUUCAUCAUCCAUAAUUUUUCUUUGACUUAAGGUGGUUAUAUCCCCACCUUUUCCACUCCUUGUAGUCACGUCCAUGGCAUGUCCCGUGUUGUUCCCACCCUUCGGGUUCACCACCGUGUCACUUGGUAGUGCCCCCUUAGGACGAUUAUUUAAAGCUUACGAGAUUUACCCUAAUUGAACUUCCAAAUUAUGAAUUGAAGUGUUGUGAGAGGCUAAUUGAGGAUCAGAGUCGGCAUUCUUAUCCAUAAUUUGUUUAAACAUGUUCUCAAUUCGCCCCAUCUCAUUAUUGAAAAGCUAGGACCAUGGGAAGGGUAAGGAGGCGGGUUGCUUGGUUGUUGAUACAUCGGGGGCCUUUGAAAACCCGACCCCCGAUUCCCUUGAUUAUUGUUCUAUCCCCCUUGGUUGUUUCCUCCCCAAUAUCCUUGACUAUUUCCACUCCAAUGGCUUUGGUUGUUUUGAUUGUUCCAGUUCCCUUGAUUGUUUUGACCAUUCCAAUUACCUUUGUUUUGACCAUUCCAAUUACCUUGGUUGUUUUAAUUGUUCCAAUUCCCUUGAUUAUCUUGAGAUCACCAUUGUUGUUGGUUCGGGCCUUGAGAGUUGUUUCUUUGCCCUUGGAAGUUGUUCGCAUAUUGUACUUCCUCCUCUUGUUCAUUGUAAUAUUCAUCUUGGUCAAACUCACUAUAUUCUUGCACAUAUUGUUCCACACGAUUUUGCAUUUGUUGACCCUUUUUUCUUCGCUUGUUCACCAUCAUAUUUACUCCUUCCAUUGCAUUUACUUGCUUAGGGCCUUGAACUUGUUAAAGUUGAUCUUUGGCUAAUUGAUUCAUUGUGGUAGUCAACUCGGCAAUUGCUUGCCCAUGAUCAUGUAAUUCUUUAUGUAGGUGAAUCAUAUUUGGAUAACCUUGAGGAACAUUUUUUCUACUUUGCCAUGCCGAUGAAGUAUCCGUCAUUUUAUCUAAGAUCUCACAAGCUUCGGCAUAUGGUGUUGUCAUGAAAUUUCCACAAGCAAGUUGGUUGACCACACAUUGAUUGGUAGUAUUGAUCCCCCUAUAGAAAGUUUGUUGAAUCAUAGCCUCAGUCAUGUUAUUGUUCGGGCACUCUUUCACCAUAGUUCAGUACCUCUCCCAUAUCUCAUGCAAAGGCUCAUUGGGUUCUUGUUUGAAUGCUAGAAUCUCGUCUCUAAGAGUAUGCCCGGGAGAAAAGAACUUGGAAAUGAAUUUCUCCGUCAAUUCAUCCCAUGUAUGGAUGGAAUGGUUUGGCAACCUUUCUAACCAAUCUAAGGCUUUCCCCCAUAGUGAAAAAGGAAAUAGCCUAAACCUUAAAUUAUCCUAGGAGACAAUUGUCUGUUUACUCCUCCAGCAAGUGUCCACAAAUCCUUUUAAGUGUUUGUACACAUUUUGAUUCGGAGCCCCGGUGAAGAAUCCCCAUUGCUCUAGCAAUGUGAGCAUAACAUUUGUGAUUUGAAAGUUUCCCGCCCUAAUGUGGGGCGGGACUAUGACACUUGCAUACCCUUUAUUCGAUAACACCCGGUGUGGAGCCGCUCUUGGUGGAGAUGGGGGUGGAAAGGGAACAUUGUCUUGAGGCGGUUGGGCUCAUCUAUUUGCUUGAGGUUUAGGAGGAACCUCUUCAACUUGGUCAUCUUCCAAGUCCACAUCCCCCAAAGGCAUAUUUCCGAGAGGAUCAUUGUUGUUGAGAGCCAUUGUUUCACCUACAAUUGUUUCACCAAAAAGAUUAGUAACACGGAAGGAAAAGAAGAAAAUUCACACACAAAACCAAAUAUAUAGCUAAAUCCGUUUUUUAUGCUCCCCGGCAACGGCGCCAAAAAUUGAUCUCGCCCAAAUCACACCUCAGUUUGGGGUUGUGAAGCGGUCGAUUGCAAUAAUAAUACCCAACUAGGAGUCAGGAUCAAAUCCACAUGGAGCGUAGAUGGGAUUAGGUAUACAUUUGGACUAAGCACGUAAAGUGUCUAAGAUGCACUUUCACAAAAUGUGUUUUGAUUCUACUUCUAAAUUAUGGUACGGUUUGCAAAUGUAAAGCUAGAGAAUAAUAUUUUUUAUGUCAUUUUUCAAGUAUGUAAAAGAUCUAGGGAUGUGACUUCCACCUAGGUGUUUGUCUAACGGGUUGUGGGCUUUAGGGAAGGUUUGGUAGGUCGGGGUGUAAUAUAACAAUCAACAUGCAAUUACCUACUCAAUACCUCUCGGUAAUAGAGUGGUCUUGCCCAAUUUGGCUUUCUCAAGUCGAAAUGGGUAAUUCACAAAACAAUUGAUAGAUGCUCAAGUCGGGUUUUACUAUCUCUAGAUUCAACCCUUUAAUUGGGACUAUCAAUUUCUUGAGUUCACACCAAUUUCUUGUUAGCCAAGUUUUCCUAGACUCAGUCUUUCUUUCUCAAGUAGAGACUAAGUCAAAUAGGCUUGAAUCAAUGCUUGCAACCAUUAAUUCUACAAUUAAAGCAAGAACUAGGCUAAAUAUUACACACCCAACUAUAAACAAGCCCUAAAUCAAACACCCAUUAGGUACCCACACUAGGGUUGGGUCACAACCCUAGUUAGAAAUUAAGCUACUCAUAGAUGAAAAUGAAGAAAUUAAAGAAGAAUAUAACAUUAAACUCAUAUUCAGUGAUAAAGAGAUAAAAAUCUAAUGUAAAAUAGACAAACUAUCAUAAACUUUCCUAAAGCAGUAAAUAAAAAUGGCUCCCAACUUUCAGAUGUUCAAACUUAACCUAAUUUUGUCAAAAAAGACUAUUUAUACACAACUGAAAUUUUUAGACAAAAUUGCCUUUGCCCUUUCGGAGUUUCUGUGACCGCACUUCUUCAGGUUCUGCGGAUCGCACAUUUCUGAGUGCGGCCGCACAAUAAUAGUGCGGUCCGCACUUCUUGAUGGACUUAAACUUGGGACUCUCUGAUCUUCCUCUUCUAUGCCCGCACAAUUAUUAUGUUGUCCGCACUUUUCAAAGAAGCUCUGAUAGAAGUCCCUUCAUUAUCUGCGGCCGCAGACAAAAUUCUGCGGUCCACACUUUACCGUUUUUGCUUGGUUUUAGUCCUUGUCCAAAAAUACUCCUUCUUGAGUUGAAUUUCAUUGCUUUGGCGCAUUUUCCAAUACUCCUACAAGAAAGCAUAUUUUAUCAGCUUUCGAGAAUACCUUUAAGUAUUUUUGAGCUAAAACGAAAGUAAAAAGGGCACAAAUAAGUAGUCAAAAUUCCCACUUAUCACUCAUGACUCGUGAGACCUAGAUAACCUAGUGCUCUGAUACCAACUUAUCACGAUCCGAAAUCCUAACCGUGGGGCCAUGAUGGCACCUAAUACCGAAUGUCAGGUGAUCUCGUCCAAUUUCACACCUCAAUUCAAGGUUAUGAAACGGUCGAUGCAAUAAUAAUACCCAACAAGAGUCGGGGUCAAAUUCCGCAGUGAGCUAUAAAUGGGAGUUAGUAGUAUAUAUCGUAGCGUGUGAAUUUGAAUAUCUAAAUUUACUCUUCCGCAAAAUUUGGUUGUUCUGAAGUCUAAUUUAAACUACGAUUGCAAAUUGAGAAAUACAAUUAGGAGAUUGUUUUUGUUAUUUUUCAAAAUGUUGUAAAAAGCCUAAGGCUAUGACCUUCACCUAGGUGUUUGCCUAAUGGGAUAUAAACUUUAAAUCUAGUUUUAUUGGUAGGGGUGUAUUAUAGCUAUCAACACUCGAUUGACCCAAUUUCUUGUUAGCCAAGUUUUCCUAGACUAUGACUAUCUUUCAUAAGUAGAGACCAAGUCAAAUAGGCAUGAACUAAUAUUUUCAACCAUUAAUUCCACACAUAAAAUCAAGAAUACGGCUAAAUAAUAAAUAUUCAACCAUAAAAAAGCACUAAAUUAAACACCCAUUAAGUUUACACACUAGGGUUGGGUCAGAAUCCUAGUGAAAAUCUAGCUACUCAUGCUUGAAAUGGAAGAAAUAGAAGAAGAAAGAUAAUUAAACUCAUAUUGCUAAUUAAAAUAAUAAAAUCCAUGUUCAAAUAGCUCCAAAUAUAAAACAAACUACUAAAAAGAGUAAAAGGAAACGUCUACUAUAGCAGCUAAUGUCAAAAGUUAACCUAAAAAUGUGAAACUUUCUAUUUAUACAGGGCUAGAAUUUUCGGACAAAAAUGCCCUUUUGGAGAUUCUGCGGCCGCACAAUUCCAUGUGCGGUCCGCACUUUUAUUCAGCUUGAUAGGAUUGGAAGUCUGCGGUCGCAUAAUUCUAAACCGCGGCCGCAAUGCACUCUUUCUGCGGUCCGCAGAAUUGUAUCUACGGCCGCACCAUGCUCUUCUACGGUCCGCACAAUUGUAUCUGUGGCGCAUAGUUCUUCUUUUGCGGCAGCACAAUUGUUAUGUGGUCCUCACUUCUAGGAGACUUGGAAUGCAGCUUCUCUGAACUUUGCUUCUGGAUUAACUUUUGCGGCCGCACAAUUCAUGUGCGGACCGCACUUUGCACGAGUCUUUGAUGGAAAUUCCUUCAUAAUCUGCGAUCGCAGAUGAUAUUCUGCGGUCCUCACAAUUGAGCUUAUGUGCCAUUUCUGUCCCUGCAUUCAGAUUACUCCUUCUUGACUUAGAUUUCAUCUCGGGAGUUCAUCUUCUAAUAUACCUGCAAUUAAGCAUAUUUCAUUAGUUUUCGGGAAGACAAUUAAACGCUUUUGGACUAAAACGAAAGCUAAAAGGCGCUAAUAAGUAGUCAAAAUUCCUACUUAUCAACUCCCCCAAACUUAAGCUUUUGCUUGUCCACAAGCAAAUAAAGUGGUUGACACCUCCACAAGUUAAGAGCCAUUCCAGCAAAUCAAAGUGAGUCAUUCACACAUCAAUUGGGACCAACAAUUACCCACACCACUUAUGAAUUAUCAACAAGGCAACAAGUUAAUAUUUUAAGCACAAAUAGUUCUAAUGUGACACUUGAGCAUCAAGAAUUGACUUUGUUCAUCAAGGAAGCUCGCUCUUUUAUGUAAGUCAUUGUGGAUCCCAAACUCCUCCUCCUCUACUCUCGGUUUGCCUAUUUCACUUAAGAAUUUAGCACUCAAUCCAAAGAUUUGCGAAAGGUUCACUAUUCUCUCUCAGAAGAAUGUCGCAAGUACGGCUUUAAGUACCAUAGGCUUGCCCCUCAUGUAGAUCACCACUAAUGUAAACUCAUUCGUCUUGAAAUCACGUAGGGCUUUUUCAGAAUGCAAUGAAGGCUUUUUGGACUAAGGUUGGAUAUGCUAUGAUAGAACGGGUUCAUCUUUCCUUAAGCACUCCAUUUUCUUUUCUCGGCUCAUGCUUUGCCAACUCUUUGAGGCAUUUUCUUUUCCUUAGGGGAACUAGAGAGACUUAACAAUACUUUUUCUUGAUUAUGAUAUUCAAUUUCUCCAUCUUUGAUUUCUCGAUGCUUUGCAUCAUUACUUUUCUUGGAAUUCAUUCAAUUUUUCCACUUAUUCACUUUCUUUUUGCAUUUUUAUUUUUGUUUUUUCUUUUUCUUGCCUUUCCUUCUCUUCAUUUCUUUUCUCUUUUUGUGCUUUGAUACCUCUUUCAAGUUCCUCGUAUCUCCCCCAAACUUAUGUUUUUAGCCAAUUAUUUCACAAGACUGUUAAGGAAAGCUCGGGUGCCAAGAGAGGGUCACGACAAAAUGGGUAAAGGCAUGUAACAUGGUUAUCAAAUGAGAAAGGUUUUAGGCUCAAAUGGGUUGAAUAAGGAUAACAACCUUGGUGGGUAAUGUAAAACUUCUAGCGGGUCAAGGAGAGCCUACAAUCACUUCUCAAGACAAGCAAAACUUAAAAUUUCGCCUAGAAACACAUUCGGGGCAAGUUCUAGAUCAUUCGCACGGGUACUUGGACUUGCAACAAAAAUACCUCACCUCUCACGUAGCUGAAUUGUUAAAGAGGAAAGAUUCGAGGGUCCACCACUACUAUAUUCAAGAUUGAAAAUCACUAUGGUUCGAUUAAACCACUCUAUGAUUGACUAAGUCAACACAAGAGUCACAAGGUCACUAACAAGAACUAUUUCUUUCCAAAAACCUUGUUUUAAACCAUAAGCACGUAGUUAAGUGUGUUGGUACCAAGUGAAGCAUGUUUGACUCUUCGAGUAUGACUCAGUUAGGUCUUUUUAUUCAUUACUACUACUAUUAUUACCUAAACACCAAAAAUAUACCCAAUCCCUUAAGAAGGUUGUCGCGCCAUCCAUCGUUGGGAAGAGUCACCCGGUUCACACUAGAACUACCUUUGGAAAGAACCGUGGAAUUAAGAAAACCAAAAGCUUNNNNNNNNNNNNNNNNNNNNNNNNNNNNNNNNNNNNNNNNNNNNNNNNNNNNNNNNNNNNNNNNNNNNNNNNNNNNNNNNNNNNNNNNNNNNNNNNNNNNNNNNNNNGAAUAAAAAUAAGCAUUGUCCUCAAUGCUUCACAACAUGAGAGUAAAAGAAGGGUGAGAGUGAAGAAAACUCCUUAUGGCUCUAUGUCCCCAGGAGUGGCACCGACCUCAGCCUCAUCCAAUUGGAUCUCAUCAUCCUCGAGUCCGGGAGUGGCUGGGUUGGUGAACAUGUGACGGAAUACCUCAACAGUGUCAGCAGCAGUGUCUGGAUCAUCAGACUGGCCAGUUGAUGUUGUAGGUGCUGUAGGAGCUGGGCCUGGGUGGUGCGGGUCUAUCAACAUAUCAAAUGGAAUGCCUCCGGCUGCUGCAAUCUUCGUAACCUGUCUCCGGAGCUUGUCCACUGACUUCUUGGAGGCCAGGAACUUCCGCAUUUUCUUCACUUCCUUUCCCAGCUCUUUUAUCACUGACCCAUGAUGCACUAGAGUGCCUAUUAUUGUCUUCUGAUUUUCUAAAAGCUUCUUCAAGGUUUCUUCAACUGUGGGGGAAUCUGGAGUGCCGGAAUAGAUGACUAUGCUGCAACAUGGCCAGAUAUGAUAGACAGCUUUGCAGUAGUUGUCUGCAUCCAGUUGUUGAGGCUCACUAGUGUCUGGGAGACUCGUAGUGCAGAGAGUGGAGCAGAGGGCAUAGGCAUCGGCUUCAAAGAUGAAAUAGAAGGCAUUGAGGCUAAAAGUGGAGGCAUGGCAGCUGCACUGGCUGAAGGUUCUGCUGAAGUGGAUGGCAUAUCGGCUAUCUCUGCAGCUACCACCGAUGGCUUGUCAGACUGGCCUAUGGUGGUAGUCGGCUGACCUUUUCUCUUUGGGUUGUAUGCAUCCAUCAGAGAAUACCAUGAGAAGGGCUUCUUAGCCCUAACCAUUGUGUCAAAAUCUCUGGGCUCUACCCGUGCAUCCGUAAGGUACUCAGUGAUGGGUUGGGAUACGGGUAGAAGGUAUCAGCUUGCAUGGAAACCACUGACAUGUUGACCGAUAGCACGACACCCACAUUGAUCGGGUACCUGGCCAUAAUAGAGGUGACUAGAAUUGCCCGUGGAAUAGGUAGGUUGGUUUCAUUCUGGCACGGGUCUAGGCUGCUACAUACGAAGGUCUGCCAUCCCUUCGCCUCAAAGUUUAGGGUGUUCCGUUGAAUAGGAACCCCUGCAGUGAUCCAUGGUGGUGGUGGCCCCGUGGCUGCAAGAAGUUUAGCUAGCCAUGGGCGAGCUGCAUCACCCAUCUCCACCUUUUCCAAGUACUGUGCAGGCUCCACAUCCUCAAACCCCAAAUACGAGUUCAGUGUAUGCUGGUCAAAUCUCACUUUCAGAUUCCUUACUUUUGUCACUUUUGUCCCUUUCUUGAUGUGCGCCACAUUUGGCGUAGAACUCCUGGACCAAAUACUCCUUGGCAUCCACAACAGUCUGGGUGAACCACAUCCACCCCUUCCACUCUCUGAACAGUCUCCAUACUGCGGGAUUAUACUCGUCAAUAUCUUUGAGUUGGAACUGUCGCUCAAGAGUGAGCAAUCUCAUAGGCCACUACCCACAAAAGCUGGUGAAGGCAGCUAGACUUACAAAAUGGUCCUCCCAAACCUCUUUCUUUUAUGACCUCUAAAGGUCGGCAACUGUUGUAUCACCCCCCGGCCAUCAUCUAGAAUAUCGUCAACAGUAGUCGCUGGUGCCACAGGGACAUGUGUAGAAGAGGGCUCUGAAGCAUGACUAGCACUCUCUGAACCCUCGAAGGUGCUAUGUAAGGAGGAAGGCUCGUCCUAGAGUUGAUACCUUCAUUGUGGUUGUGAUUGGACAGCAGGGUGCUCUUGCACUGAAUCGCCCUCCAAUGCUUCUCGAGAUAGAGCAUAUGAACUAGAUUCGGAGGGCUCUGGAUUUCUUCCUCUACCAGUUGUAGUUUUCUUGGUGAUUAUAUUUUGGAAGGCGAGGGGUAAAGUUCUUUUGCCUCGACCUCUGGAAGGUUCACCUCUCCCCUUUGAAGUAUCACCGCGGCCUCGAGAUCUAACCAUUUUCUGUAACAAGCAACAGCAAUAUUUAGUUAUAGUUCAAUUGCAAACAGAUAGUAAACACACAACUCAGAGCAUGUUGGCAGGGUAGGGAAGUGUGGUCCGCACAAUUACAAGUGCGACCGCAGGCUGAGAUGUGAGGACCGCACAAUUUGAACUUGCGGCCGCAAAGGGAGAAUUACAGUCCGCACAAUUUUGAGUGCGACCGCAGAUUUGAAGUGCGGUCCACACUUUCAUCAUUGUGGUCGCACAUUAGAUAUCCCAAAAGUGGUAACUCUCUGAUGAUAAAGAUUAUGCUAUUCUGCGGCCGCGAUGGGAUUUAUACAUACCGCACAAUUUUAAGUGCGGCCGCAGAUUCAGCCUUACUUGCAGUACCCUAGUAUUCACUUCUGCGGACAGCACAAUUUCUUGUGCGGCCGCAAAUUUCAAACCAAAAUCGAUCAGACUCCUAGGGUUUAUAAUAUUUUGCACAAAUUCGACAUGGUAUGAACACUUAAGCAUGAAAAACAAAUCAUCCAUUCCCCAUAGAGCAAUUAUCAGUUAACCAAACACAAUUUAAACCCCACAUGGUAGUAAAAUUAAAAUUUAUUGACAAAUGGCCUAAAACUACCUAAAAGUUAUAAAUUAAACUAAAAAUUGAAAAAAUUUAUGAGUAAUUAAAGCAUAUCAGAUAUGAGGUAAUGCAGAUGACUAAUCAUAUAUGUGGAUUGAGUGUGGCAGUAGAUUGAACAGGCGAUUUCAAAGUUUUAGAGUUUAGAGUGCUUAGAGAGGGAAAAAAUGUACAGUAGCCUUAAGGUUACUAUUUAUACUUGGACGGUCAGACUUGAGGGACAAAGGAGGAGUGCGGCCGCAGAAUUCUUUCGGCGGUCCGCACUCGGUUACCUGGGGGCUCAAAUGCCCUUGCUGAUAUGCGAUCUGCAGAAUUUGUGGUGCGGUCGUAGAAUUUUUGUGCGGAUCGCAUAUUUUGUUGUGCGGCCACACUUUGGCCAUUUCUUUGACAGACCAAACUUCAGAGAGUUUGCAAUUUCCCAUCUCAAUUUGUGUGGUCCGCACUUUAAUUGUGCGGCCGCAGUUCCCUUCUACUGUAGCACCCACAAUUGUGCGGUUCGCACUUUUUCCACACUUAGCCAAUUUUUUCUUCGCAUAGUUCCUGUAAAGCACACUCAUUCCUGAAACACACUUCAAAUCUAGUUAGCACAAAAAUAACACCUAUCUACAAAAGAAGAAAAGAAAAAGAAACAUGGGUUGCCUCCCUAGAAACGCCUGAUUUAACUUCGUGGCAUGUUGCAGAUUACCAUCACUUCAAAUGAAUAAUUGCCACCACGUGGCCAUCAUCAACUUGUCCCAAAUAAUGCUUCACCCGGUAACCAUUGACUCAGAAUACCUCAUAAUUUUUGUUCUUCAAGUCCAAUGCACCAAAAGGUGUCACACCCACAAUUUCAAAGGGACCACUCCAUUUAGAUUUCAGCUUCCCGGGAAACAUCUUCAAUCGUGAGUUGAACAACAAAACAAGAUCGCCCACCUUGAACUCCUUGUUUCGGAUGUAUUUGUCAUGAAGGUAGUUCAUCCUCUCUUUGUACAAGGACGAACUUGCAUAUGCAUGGUAUCGGAACUCAUCCAAUUAAUUCAAAUGUGCAACCCGCAAACUAGCGGUUGCAUCCCAAUCAAGAUUCAACUUCUUUAAAGCCCAUAUGGAUUUAUGCUCGAGUUCCACCGGAAGAUGACAAGCUUUGCCAAACACCAACUGAUAUGGAGACAUACCUAUAGGAGUUUUGAAAGCAGUUCGAUAAGCCCAUAGUGCAGCAUCAAGCUUCUUUGACCAAUCCGUCUGUUUAGCAUUCACUAUUUUUGACAAGAUACUGUUUAUCUCCCGGUUGGAGACUUCCACUUGACCGCUAGCUUGUGAUUGAUAGGGAGUCAUAACUUUAUGAGUGACACCAUACUUGCUAAGCAAAGUGUCAAAAUCCUUGUUGCAAAAAUGCGACCCCCCAUCGCUUAUGAUAGCUCGCGGAGUACCAAAUCUUAUGAAAAUAUUCUUCUUCAAGAAUGCCGCCACACUUCUCGCUUCAUUGUUGGGUAGAGCAACGGCCUCCACCCAUUUAGACACAUAAUCAACUGCGACCAAGAUGUAGGUGUUUGAACAAGAACUCACAAAAGGACCCAUGAAGUCAAUACCCCAUACAUCAAAAAUAUCAAUCUCCAAAAUGGUAGUGAGAGGCAUUUCAUUCUUCUUUGAGAUUCCACCGACCCGUUGGCGUUCAUCACAUCUUUUUACCAUAUCACUUGCAUCUUUGUAGAGAGUGGGCUAAUAAAAAUGGCAACUUAGCACUUUGGCCUCCAUUCUUGCUCCGCCAUGGUGACUACUAUAAGGCGAAGAAUGGCAAGCCUCAAGAAUAACAUUUUUCUCUUCGUCUAAUUACCCCAUCCGUGCAAAUCCGGAAAAGGUAUGGCUCGUCCCAAUAAUAAUCUUGACAAUCCCGUUUGAGAUUCUUCCUUUGAUUUGAAGAGAGCUCAUCCAGGAUAAUUCCACACACAAGGAAGUUUGCUAUAUCCGCGAACCAUGGAACCUCCUUCAUUGAGAUAGCCAAGAGUUGCUUCUCAGGGAAGGAGUCAUUGGUCUCAAGGCCAUCAUGCGGCCUCCCCUCCUCCUCCAAACAAGACAAGUGGUCCGCCACAUGAUUUUCACUCCCUUUUCGAUCAUGGAUGUCAAUAUCAAACUCUUGUAACAAUAGCACCCAUCUCAUCAACCUAGCUUUCGAAUUUUCUUGCUCAUAAGAUAGUGAAGUGCCGCAUGAUCCGUAUGAACAAUAACCUUUGCACCCAUCAAGUAUGGGUGAAAUUUCUCAAUUACAAACACAAUGGCAAGGAGCUCUUUUUCAGUAACGGUGUAAUUAACUUGGGCAUCAUUCAUGGUCUUACUAGCAUAGUAGACCGGAUGAAAAAUCUUGUUGAUACGUUUCCCCAAAACUGCCCCAACCGCUACAUCACUAGCAUCGCACAUGAGCUCAAAAGGAAUACUCCAAUUAGGAGCGGUGUAUGGGAGUUAUUGUCAACUUGAGCUUUAGCAAUUCAAAAGCUCUCAUGCAAUCAUCAUUGAAGUUAAACGUAGCAUCUUUCUCUAAGAUCUUGCACAAUGGAUACACCACUUUAGAAAAAUCCUUUAUGAAGCACCGGUAGAACCCCGCGUGACCCAAGAAACUUCUCACGCCUUUCACUAAAGUUGGAGGUGGGAGUUUAGAAAUCACCUCUAUCUUCGCCUUGUUAACCUCUAUUCCAUUCUUUGAAAUCUUGUGGCCUAGGAAAAUGCCUUCCUCGACCAUGAAAUGGCAUUUCUCCCAAUUCAACACCUAGUUCAUUUGUUCACACCUUGCCAAUACUCUAUCCAAAUUUGCCAAGCAAACAUCAAAGGAAUCCCCGACUACCAAGAAAUCAUCCAUGAUGACUUCAAGGUAGUCUUCUAUCAUAUCCGUGAAGAUCGCCAUCAUACACCAUUGAAAAGUCGUUGGUGCAUUGCAUAAGCUAAAUGGCAUCCGCUUGAAAGAGAAAGUGCCAUAGGGACAAGUGAAAGUUGUUUUCUCUUGAUCUUCUAGGGCAAUAAGUAUUUGGUUGUAGCCAGAAUAUCCAUCUAGAAAGCAAUAGAAAGAACGGUCGGCCAACCUAUCAAGCAUGUGGUCAAGGAAGGCAAGUGGAAAAUGGUCUUUCCUCGUGACUUUGUUUAGUUUCCGAUAGUCCAUACAUACUCUCCACCCAGUCAUCAUUCUUGCGGGAAUCAAUUCGUUCUUGUCAUUGGUGACCACUGUUAUGCCACCCCUUUUCAGGACACAUUGCACCAGAGAGGUCCACGAACUGUCGAAAAUAGGGUAGACCACCCUGGUAUCUAACCAUUUGAUAAUCUCCUUUUUGACCAUGUCUUGGAUGGCUUCAUUGAAUCUCCUUUGAUGUUCAAUGGAGGGUUUCGCAUCUUCCUCCAAGUUAAUCUUGUGCAUGCAAAAUGCGGGGCAUAUUCCUCGAAUAUUUGCCAAAGUCCACCCAAUAGCUUUCUUUCCCUUUUGGAGCACCGCCAAUGUAGAUUCAACCUGCACGUUAGACAAAUAAGAGGAAAGAAUAACCGGUAAAGUAGAACAAGGGCCAAGGAAUUCAUACCUGAGAUGUGGAGGCAAUGGCUUCAACUCCAAGAUCUGAGGCUCUUCAAUUAAAGGCUUUGUAGGAGGAGUUUCUCUAUUCUCAAGAUCUAAAGUAAGUUUUCGGGGUGCAUAGUUGUACGACCCCAUUCCUUGCAAAUAAUUAACACAUUCCAUGAAGCCAUCCGUCCCAUCAUCAUCAAAAUUGAGCAAGACGGCCUCCAAUAUCUCACCCACAUUAAUCGCGGCACUUGUAUCAUCAAUAAUCAUACCGGUCACCAAGUCCACAAAUGAACACACUUCAUUACUAUUCAGUUGCCUCAUAGAUUUGCACACGUGGAACACCACCUUUUUAUCACCAACCCGGAAAGUGAGUUCUCCGGCUUCCACAUCAACAAGAGCCUUCCCCAUAGCAAGGAAAGGUCUUCCAAGAAUAAUCAACACCUCAUAGUCCACUUCACAAUCAAGAAUAACAAAAUUCGACUAGAGAAUGAAUUCCUUCAUUGUACGAUAGGCCAUUUGUAAUCUCAUAGAUGUGGGUCUUGGUUGCCCAAUUCCCAAAAUCUUGAAAACCGAAUAGAGCAUCAAAUUGAUACUCGACCCAAGAUCACAAAGAGCUUUGGAAAACUUGGCACUUCCAAUGGUGCAAGGGAUUGUGAAAGCACUGGGAUCUUCCAACUUAAGAGCCAUCGAAUGCACAAUUGCACUCACUUGGUGAGUGACUUUGAUAGUUUCAAAAUUCAUCGACCAUUUUUUUGUCACCAAAUCCUUCAUAAACUUUGUGUAUCCGGGCAUUUGCUCCAAAGCUUCAACUAAUGGCACAUUUAUCGAAAUACUCUUCAUCAUAUCAAUGAACUUUUUGAAUUGAUUCUCGCCAUUUUGCUAGGCGAGCCUUUAAGGAUAUGGAGAAGGUGGCUUAGGCAAUGGUUCCUUAGACUUUUAACUACCGGUUUUGGUAUGUCAAUCACAUGCUCCCUAGACGGGUUUACUUCAUCUUGAGUCUCUUCCACUGUGUCAUCAAUAUCAAUCCGCACUUCAUCAUUUGCUUGCACUACAUUGGUUGGGAUCUCCUCUUCUUCUACCACUUGCCCAUCAUCCACAAGUUGCCUUUGACUUGAGGUGGGUGCAUUCCCACCUCUUCCACUUUUUGUAGUAACGGNNNNNNNNNNNNNNNGGAGAUUUGUCCCAUUUGCACUUCCAAGUUACGGAUCGAGGUGUUGUGUGAAGCAAGUUGAGCAUCGGAAUCGGCGUUCUUCUCCAUCAUUUGCUUAAACAUAUUCUCAAUAUGGCCCAUUUAAUUUUUGGAAGAACUAGGACCAUAUGAAGGAUAAGGAGAUGGGUUGCUCGGUUAUUGAUACAUCGCGAGCCUUUGAAAACCCAACCCUCGAUUUCCUUGAUUGUAAUUCCACCCGCCUUGAUUGUUGCCUCCCCCAUUGCCUUGGUUAUUGUAGUUAUGCCAAUUCCCUUGAUUAUUGUUUCCACUCCAAUUGCCUUGAUUGUUAUUGCUAUUCUAAUUAUUUUGAUUGUUUCCUCCACUCCAAUUGCCUUGGUUAUGAGAAUUCCAAUUGCCUUGAGUAUUUUGAGGUCUCCAUUGUUGUUGGCUAGGGCCUUGGUAGUUGUUUCUUUGCCCUUGAAAGUUAUUCACAUAUUGGACCUCCGCUUUUUGGUAAUUGUAAGAGUCAUCUUGAUCAAAUCCACUAUCAUCUUGCACAAAAUUGUCCACUCUUUGUUGCACUUUUGGACUUCUUGUUCUUCGCUUGUUCACUAUCUUACCUACUCCCUCAAUUGCAUUGACUUGCCUUGGGUUUUGCACUUAUUGAUGUUGAGCCUUUGCCAAUUGGUUCAUGGUGGUAGUCAACUCGGCUAUAUCUUGUCCAAGAUCAUGCAACUCUUGGUGAAGGUGAAUCAAAUUGGGAUCACAUUGUGGAACAUUAGCGCGAGAUUGCCACGCCAAUGAAGUAGUUGCCAUCUCAUCCAAGAUAUCACAUGCCUCCGCAUAAGGCGUAGUUAUGAAGUUUCCACCGGCAAGUUGAUUCACUACACAUUGGUUGGUUGUAUUGAUCCCCCGAUAGAAAGUUUAUUCAAUCAUGUUCUUCGUCAUAUCAUUGUUGGGGAAAUCUCACCAUUGUUCUAUACCUUUCCCAUAUCACGUGUAGUGAUUCAUUGGGCUCUUGCUUGAAUGCUAGAAUUUCAUCCUGAAAAAUAGCCAUGUGACUGGGAGAGAAGUACUUAGAAAUAAAUUUCUCCGCUAAUUCAUCCCAUGUAUGAAUGGAAUAAUUUGGAAAACGUUCCAACCAAUUAAAAGCUUUUCCCCGUAGAGAGAAGGGAAAAAGCCUUAGCCUCAAAGAAUCCUCGGAGACAUUAGUUUGUUUGCUCCCCCAACACGUAUCUACGAACCCCUUCAAGUGUUUGUAUGUAUUUUGACCCGGUGCACCGGUGAAGAACCCUCGUUGCUCGAGCAAAGUCAUCAUCACGUUGGUUAUUUGGAAGUUGCCCGCCCUAAUACAGGGAUGGACUAUAGCAUUUGUAUACCCUUCAUUAGGCAACACCCGGUGUGGAGCCGCUCCUGAUGGAGGUGGGGGUAGAGCGGGUACAUUGUCUUGAGGCACUCGGCCUUGUCUAUUUGCUUGAGGUUCAAGAAGGACCUCAUCCAUUUGAUAAUCCUCAACGUCCACGUCCCCCAAAGCUAUGUUUUCGAUAUCAUUGUUUGCCAUGAUAUUACACCUACAAUUUCUCAACACGUUAGUAACAAGGAAGGAAAAGGAAAUAUUUCAAAAACACACCUAAUUAUAUAGUUAACACUGUUUUUAGCUCCCCGGCAAUGGCGCCAAAAAUUGAUCUCGUCCAAUUUCACACCUCAAUUCAAGGUUAUGAAAAUGGUCGAAGCAAUAAUAAUACCCAACAAGAGUCGGGGUCGAAUUCCGCUAGGAGCUAUAGAUGGGAGUUAGUAGUAUAUAUCGUAGCGUGUGAAUUUGAAUAUCUAAAUUUACUCUUCCACAAAAUUUGGUUGUUUUGAAGUCUAAUUUAAACUAUGAUUGCAAAUUGAGAAAUAAAACUAGGAGAUUGUUUUUGUUAUUUUUCAAAUGUUGUAAAAAUCCUAGGGCUAUGACAUUCACCUGGGUGUUUGCCUUAUGGGAUAUAAACUUUAAAUCUUAUUUUAUUGGUCGGGGUAUAUUAUUGCUAUCAACACUCAAUUACCCACUCAAUACCUCUCGGUCAGAGAGUGAUUUUGCCGAAUUUGACUUUCUCAAGUUCAAAUGGGUAUUGAACAAAAUGCUUGACAAAAGCUCAAGUCGGGUUGUUACUAUCUCUAGGUCCAAUCCUUUAAUUGGGCUUAUCAAUCUCUCGAUUGACCCAAUUUCUUGUUAGCCAAGUUGUCCUAGACAAAGUCUCUCUUUCUCAAGUAGAGACCAAGUCAAAUAGGCAUGAACUAAUAUUUGCAACCAUUAAUUCCACAAAUAAAAGCAAGAACAAGGCUAAAUAAUAAACACAGCACUAUAAACAAGCAUUAAAUUAAACACCCAUUAAGUUUACAUACUAGGGUUGGGUUACAACCCUAGUGAAAAUCUAGCUACUCAUGCUUGAAAUUGGAAGAAAUAGAAGAAGAAAUGAUAUUUAAACUCAUAUUGCAAAUUAAAAUGAUAAAAUCUAUGUUCAAAUAGCUCAAAAUAUGAAAAGUUACUAAAAAAAGUAAAAGCAAAUGUCUACUGUAGCAGCUAAUGUCAAAAGUUAACCUAAAAUGUGAAACUUGUCUAUUUAUACAUGGCUGGAAAUUUUGGACAAAAAUGCCCUUCCGAAGGUUCUGCGGCCGCAGAAUUCCAUGUGCGGUUCGCAGUUUUCUUCAGCUUGACAGGAUUUGAAGUCUGCAGUCGCAUAAUUCUGAAUCGCGGUCGCAAUGCACUCUUUCUGCGGUCCGCAGAAUUGUAACUGCGGCCGCACCUUGCUCUUUUACGGUCCGCACAAUUAUAUCUGCGGUCGCACAAUUGUUGUGUUGUCCGCACUUCUGGGAGACUUGGAAUGCAUCUUCUCUGAACUUUGCUUCUGGCUCAGCUUUUGUGGCUGCACAAUUCAUGUGCGGACCGCGCUUUGCACCAAUCUUUGAUGGAAAUUCCUUCAUAACCUGCGGCCGCAGAUGAUAUUCUGCGGUUCGCACAAUUGAGCUUCUAUGCCUUUUCUGUCCUUGAGUUCAGAUUACUCCUUCUUGAGUUAGAUUUCAUCUCCGUGAGUUCAUCUUCCAAUAUUCCUGCAAUUAAGCACAUUUCAUUAGUUUUCGGAAUGAUAAUUAAACGUUUUUGGACUAAAAUGAAAGCUAAAACGUGCUAUAAGUAGUCAAAAUCCCUAUUUAUCAUCAGGCAAGCCAAAACAACAGCUAAUACGAAAUGAAGAAAAAAGAUAAAUAUCUGGAACCUGAUCAAUAGCAAAGCGUAAAUUAACUCAAGAUCUGGUGUAACAAGUACAUGAGCAUCUAGAUUCAGGUAAGUACAAGGGUUUCAAAAGAAAUACAACAUUGUCUAGAAAAAAUGAAAACAACAUAAUAAAAUAGAAAAAUGACUUUUAAGGCCUGCGAAUGGAGUGCAGCUCUACCUUGAGUCACUGACUUGUAUUUGCUAACUGCCUCUCAGGACUCCGUUGGUACCAUAGUCAAAAUUUGUAUAAGAAGUGCAGAAGUAUAGUAUGAGUACAACCAUCUCAAUGUACUCAGUAAGUGUCAAGCCUAACCCCGGCGAGGUAAUGACGAGGCUAAGACAAGACACCUAACUAAAAAUCUGUACAAAUAUAUAUAAAGCAAUGGAAAUAACAAGUAAAACAUUAAAAAUAUUAUGAGGAAGGAACAUGUAAAAGGGGCAUCAGUCGGAACAAUCAAUACAAAAUCUCCAAGUAUGUCUUUUUCCGAAAUAAGCAAUUAAACUGCCAAGUAAAAGCAGUAAAGUCAUCAAGCUGCACGGCAUCACCCUUCAUACGUUUACGCUCAUCCUCACCAUAUAAUAAAAAUGAAUGCAAUGGCACGACAUCAUCCUUCGUGCUUUUACUCUCAUCCUCACCAUAUAAUAUAAUGAAUGCAAUGGCAUGACAUCCUCCUUCGUGCUUUUACUCCCAUCCUCACAUGAUAAUAACAACCCAAGAAUCAAGUGCACGACAUCACCCUUCGUAUUUUAAUCCUCACAUUCUCUCAAUCAAUGAUAAUAUUAUGCAUAUAUGGAACGGCAACAUUCUUCGUGCUUUUCACUCUUCCUCUUCAAACAACAAUAACAACCCAAAUUAUUAAGCAAUGUGGGAAGAAAAUUUCAACUUCAACCAUGAUGUUAUUUAUAAUAAACCAACUCAACUUCCAGUAUCCCAACAACUUCAAAAUAAGCAAUAAAUACGAAAGCGAACAAUAAAAGAAUCACAAUCUACCUAAGGCAUAGAAGGCAGAGUAAAUGAAACAACAUGGUACAAUAAAUCAAUUUCCAUCUACAUGCUUUAACCCAUGACAACAUAUAUAUACUCGUCACCUUACAUAUAUAUUGUCCCCAUACAUAAUUCACGUAGCAAAUAACCAACAAGUCAUAAUUCCCCCAAGUCAAAGUUAACCACAAUACUUACCUCACUCCACAACCGAACCAACAAUCAAUAAUGGCUUUCACUUUCGAACAGACCUCCAAACCAACCGAAUCUAGCCAAUUAUCGAUCCAACAAUUUAAAAUAAGCUUUAGAAACUACCCACUAAUAAAAAAGGUUCAAUUUUAAUCACGGGCCUGCUUGGUCGAAAUCUGAGAGUAGACCAAAAUCCGAUUACUCAUUCACUCUCGAGCUCGGAUACAUGAUUUGUUUCGAAGUCCAACCUCAAUUUGAGGUCUAAAUCUCAAUUUUGUAAAAUCCCUAAAUUCUACACAAAAUUCCUAAUCUCUAUCAUGAAAUCCCAAGAUUUGAUGUUAACAACUCAUGAAAAGAAAUGGGAAUUGAUAGAAAAUAAAUUAGAGUUUCUUACCAAUGAAUUUGGGAAGAAAGGGCUCUCCAAAAUGCACCUCUAGAAUGUUUGAAAUUGAGAAAUGGUGUAAAAUGAGUUAAGUCACAUUUUGUCCCUCUUUUACCCAACUGCAAGUAUCGCAUUUGUGGACACUUGUUCGCAAAUGUGAUGCCUACAUAUGUGAGACAUUGGUCGCAAAUGUGAAUAGUGCAUCGGGUGCACGGAUGUCACAAAUACGACCAUAAUCUCGCAAAUGCGAUUAGCCCUCCAUCGCAAAUGCGGAUAAAAGCUUCCCAUUUGCGAAGCUAUCAAUAGCUACCAGAGUUCGCAAAAUGCAAACUGGAAACCAGUAUGCAAAUGCGAGGUUUCCUUCACAAAUGCGAUGUCCAAUCCCCAGUCCCCAUUUUGCAAAUGCAAUCUAAUGAGCGCAAAAGCGGGCUCGCAAAUGCGAGUUAGGCCUCACAAAUAGGAGAUCUGCAGGUUGACACCAGAACCAGAAUUGCAUCAAAUGUUCCAAAACCAUCCAAACUCAUCCGAAACUUUUACGAGCCCCUCGGGCUCCACACCGAACAUACACACAAGUGUAAUAAUAUCUUACAAACUUGAUCGCUACCUCAAAUCAACAAAAUAACAUCAAAUAACCAGAAUCAACCAUCAAAACUCAUGAUUUUCAUCUUUAAAACUCAUUUUCAUACUUUUCACAUAACGCGCCAAAAUGCGCUCGGGUCUCCCCGGACCCAACCAAACGUGCGUACAAGUCCAAAAUAUAAUUCGAACCUACCGAAAUCGUCAAAAUGUCGAUCUGAGGUCGUUUACCCAAAAUAUUGAAUGUGGUCAACUCUAGCCUCACUUUAAGUAAAAAAUUAUUUUCUUUAAAAUUUCACAUAAAAGCUUUCAGAAAAGUGACUCAUACCACUCACGUAAAUCAAGAAAUAUUAAAUGAAGCUAUGAGAGGUCUUUGAACACUAAAAUUUAGGCUAGUACACAAAAUGACUUAUCGGGUCGUCACAUUUUUGUUGUACCUAUAACAAAUUUAUUAUAAGAAUUUCAAUAACAUAUCGUUGUGUCUUGCCUUUGUGUACAAAAUCUUUUUAUUUAUAUAUUUUUAUGUUAUAAUAUUUUGUAACACACGCUCUUAGUUCUAAUAUGUGAGGCUUUGUAAUUUAGUUUCACUUUUGCACUUCCCAUUGUGUUAAUUGGUGUCUUAAAUUAUAGGUAAAAAAAAUUGAAGGUUUGGCCUUGGCACUACAGGUAAAAAUGUCCGAGGUUUUGAACUUGUCAAAGCUAAACAUUAGGAAAAAAUGUAUGAAGUUUUGGUAUUUCUAAAAAAAACUUCACACACGAAUUUUUGUAACUUCAGUCGCAUAUUAUAAUAUGGAUACAUUUAUAAAUUUUGGUACACAAUCGGUGUGAAUUCAAUGGUGGCCCUAAAAUAGAAUAUAUAUGCACGUACCCCAACUACCCGAGGUCUAUGCUACAUGUUGGGCUAAAGCUGCCCAAAACAUUAUUAAUAAAUGUAAAUUUUUCAUGUAGCGCCCAGUUUUGUACCAUUUUUGAAUUUGUACCCACUUUAAAAAAAAGUUUAACUGAUAUCCAAUUUGGGUAACAUCAAAUGCAUACACUUUUUACGUCUUCUUUGUUGUUGCUUUCUUCUUCUUCAUGCUUACGAUUCUUCUUCUUCGACUUCUUCGUUAUAAAAUAAGUUUGUUAAAUUUGAUGGUGUUCUAACAAUAUGAUGACUGAGGUUUGUUCGUUAUGAUACUUGAGUCAUGUUUCAAAUUCAGCCUCAUUUGGAGUAGAUUUGGCAUUGAAUCGUCUGUUGGAUUGUUGAAAUUCGACGAGUAAGUUAAUGUUUCUGAACUUAAGAUUCGAAAUCCGAAGUUGAAUUGAAGAGAUUGAACUACUUAAAAUUUAAAUUUCUGAAGUUUCAUUUGAAAUAUAGAGAACUUCAGAUUUAAUUUCUGAAGUUAUAUUGAAGUGAUUCAACUAUUUAAGAUUCGAAUUUCUUAAGUUACAUUUGAAAGAUAGAAGAACUUCAGAUUUGAUUUCUGAAGUUAUAUUGAAGAGAUUGAACUACUUUUGAUCCGAGCAGGUACACUUUGCAAAUAUUUGUACAAUGCGGGUAUAACGUCAAUGGCGGCUCCAAAAAAGCGUAUAUAUAAAAAUGCCCCCUAAUAAAUUUUCAUAUUAUCAGUAUAUUUUAAUUAUUAUAGCUUGUUAUUACUUUAUUUUUCAUGAUAUCAUAUUUGUGCUAUGUAGAGUUUAUCUGUUAUUGUAGAUAAAUUUACCUUGAUAAUAUAAAUGAUUUAUGUGUUAUCAUCAAACUUAAACUCUUAAAUUAAAAAAAUCAAGUAAAUAUUUUAUUCCCUCGAAGCCAACAACAUAUUGACAACUCAUUACUCGGAGAUUAUAAAUAUUGAAAAAUAUAUUUUUCUGUUAUCAAAAUCAAUUUCAUAACGGAAAAAAAGCAUAUGUGCUACAGGAUAAAAAAUAAUUCCAAAAAUAUUUUUAAAAAGAAAAAGAGAGAAAGACCAAAAAGUCAAUUAUUUUUAUACCGAAAAGUCAAUUGAAUGGCUAGUUCAAGUCCUCAUCACCGGGGGGUUUGUAGUCGUACCCUAUAUUUGUGCCACCUUUUAACCCGUACCCUAUUUUUAAAAAUUAUUGAUAUGGUAGCCAGAUGACAAAAAAUCUGUAAUGAGGAUAUGACAAUUAUACCCCUAAACAAAAAAUAUAAAACUUGCAUCACGCAUUAAUCGCGUGAUCUUCAACCUCAUUCGUGAAAAAAGAUCUCCCCCAUCACUUCGUCCCUCCUCAAAAGAUCUCCUUCAACCCUAGUCGAAGAUCUCCUCUUGUAACGACCUGACCGAUCAUUUCGAACAUUUGCACUUCGCUCGGUAGAUUGAGGGCAUGAGUAGCUCCGUAUAGUGUAUUAUGACUUGUGGGAAUCGUUGGUUUUGGUUUUCAGGUUAUUCGGAAUCGAUUUGGAAGAAUGAAUUUCAUUCUUGAAGCUUUAAGUUGGAAUAGUUGACUAAGUUUGACGUUUUAGCAUUUGAGAUCGGGUUAGAGUUUUGACGGUUCCAUUAGGUCCGGACGGUGAUUUUACACUCGGACGUAUGCCCGGAUUUACAAUUCGAUAUUUCUAUAAGGUUUCGGCGCUGAUUGGCGAAAGUUAGAAAUUUGAAGAAUUAGAAAGUUCAUAAAUUUGACCGGGAGUUGACUUUAAUGAUAUAAGAUUUGGAUUAUGGUUCCGGGAAUGGGAAUAACUGUGUUAUGUCGUUUGGGACUUGUAUGCAAAAUUUGAGUUCAUUCCGAGUUGAUUUGAUAUGUUUCGGUGCGAGUUUUGAAAGUUAAAAGUUCAUUUAAGUUUGAUUUGAGGUGCGAUUCGUCGUUUCAAUGUUGUUAUGUGUGAAUUGAGGCCUCUCAUAGGUCCGGGUUAUGUUAUGGGUCUUAUUGGUAUAUUUGGACGGGGUCCCGAGGGGCUUGGGUGAGUUUCGGACAAGGUUCAGACCAUUUCAUCGCAUAUUGCAUUUGGCUAUGGCUGCUAGUUCUGGUGUUUCUGCAUCUGCGGAAGAAUGAGCGCAGAUGCGGAGGAAGAAGCGCACCUGCAUUUGCGGAGAAGCAGAAGUUGUAAUCGCAGAAGCGGUUGAGUGCGCAGAAGCAUGUCUUGUCUCGCAGCUACGCUUGCGUAGAAGCGAUGCCUAUUGCGCAGGUGUGGAAGAGCUGAACUCCAGGGUUUUCCGCAGAAGGGGGAAUUUUGUCGCAUAAGCGACGCCGUAGAAGCGGCCCUUUUUUCGCAAAAGCGAAAAUGCUGGGCAGAAACUAUAUAAAGGGGUUUUGGGUUCUUUUAUCAUAGUUUGAGAUGUGGGACUCGGAUUGAGGCGAUUUUGGAGUCAAAUUUCAUCACAAGGAUUGGGCUAAGUAUUCUACACUCUGUUUUGAUUAUAUUUCGUGAUUUUAUCUUCAUUUUUGGUAAUUAGAUUAUGCGUUUUAAAGAGAAAAUUAGGGAUUUUAGCCUAAAGCUUCAUAGAGUGAUUUUUUGAGUUUUGAAUGUCAAUUCGGAAUCGGAUUUGAGUGAAACUAGUAUAGUUGGACUCGUAAAUGAAUGAGUUGUCAGAUUUUGUAAGUUUCGUCAAAUUCUGAGGUGCGGGCCCGGAUUGGACUUUGGGUUGAUUUUGGGCUUUUGAUUAAAGAUUCGACCUUUAUCGAUUAGGUUUGUUUCCUUUGGCAUUAUUUGAUGUAUUUGAGUUGCUUUUGGCUAGUUUCGAGCCGUUCGGAGGUUGGUACACACGGGAUGGCAUUUUUGGAGCAUCGCUUGACUUGCUCGGUAUUGGAUUUGGCUUGUUCGAGGUAAGUAACACUUCUAAACUUGGUGCUGAGGGUAUGUGUCACGACCCAAAAUCCACCUAGUCGUGAUGGCACUUAACCCAACCUGUCAUGAAAGCCUAUUAACAACUAUUCAAUUUAAUAAGAUUUUUUAAUAUUUAUUAAGAAAAAAAAUGAUAAUACACCGCUUUUAUACAAAAAAGUUUCUCAAGGACUGGUAGUACAAAUCAUGAGCUUCUAAGAUUAGAAUUUACAAAGCUGGUAUGAAAUAAAUACGUCAUCUAUUCGAAAUGUACAUAAACAGAUUUUUAUAAAUCUAAGGCUACCACGAAUAGGAGGCAGCUACAACCGGAACGCAAGUACGUCUUCAAAUCCUGCUCUCGUCAAUCACAGCAACAUCAAUAUCCAAUAUCUGCACGCAAGGUGCAGAAGUAUAGUAUGAGUACAACCGACCACAUGUACUCAAUAAGUAACAAACCUAACCUUAGGAUGAAAGUAGUGACGAGCUGGAACACAGGUCAGGGUCCAACACCAAUAGCCAACAAUAGUUCAUAACAACAUAACGAAAGUAAUAAAAGAAGUAGCUCAGAAAUAAAAUGCUCAGCUCAUUCACAGUUCUAGAAAAAUAGGCAUGCUUUCCAAGUCUAUCAGUGAAAACCCAAAUCUUUUACCGAAAUCACCAAAAUAUGAGUACGUUUUGUGAAACUGUGAUUUUUCCCAAAAUCUUUCAACAGGUAAAUGUUUCAUUUUCAAAUGGCAUGAGGAAAAUACAUCUUUAUGCCUACAUGUCAAUGACUAUGUGAAGUCAUGAAUGACGCAAUAUCGUACAGCAUGAGGAAAAUGCAUCUAUAUGCCUGUGUGUCAAGUGUGCAUGUUAAUGUGAUGCAACUCAGUGAUAAAACCAUAUGCAUAUUCUCAGAGUAUCAAUUCACUCAGUCCUCCCAGUCACACAAUCCUCCCAAUCGCUCGGCACUAGCACUUAGUAGGUACAUGCGCUCACUGGGGAUGUGUACAGACUCCGGAUGGGCUCCUUCAGCCCAAGUGCUAUAACAAGGAAAUCAUGGCAUAAAUUAAUAAGACAUGUCGCGGCGUGCAGCUCGAUCCCAUAAACAUCCUCACCAUCAAGCCCUCGGCCUCACUCAGUCAUCAAUCUCUCAAAUCUCUCGGGCUCACAAUGUCAUGAAAGUCAUCCCAAAAUGAUGAUGUGAUGUAUCAAUAAAUGGUGACGGGGACUAAGAUAUGAUAUGCAAAUGAAUGCGUAUGAAUGAGUAUGUAAUUGCAAUGUAAGCAAAUAAUUCAACAACAGCAAUGACCUUGGUGGGUCCCAACAGAAUAAACAUGUGGUUUAGACAUGGUUUCUAGCAUGAAUCACAACUCAAAAGCUCUAGUACGUAGAGAUUUCAUGGUUCCAGAUAAGAUCAGGUAACCACACAGUACCAUAGAAAUAUCGGAGUCACAUUUCACACGGUGCAGCCCACAUGCCUGUCACCACACAUGUGCAUCACCUCAACAUCAAACACAUAACAGGUAUAAUCAGGGCUCAUACCCUUAGUUCCAAGUUUAGAAGUGUUACUUACCUCAAAUAAGCCAAAUCCAAUACCGAGCAAGCCAAACGAUGCUCUAAAAUGCCAUCUUGUGCGUACCGACCUCCGAACGGCUCGAAACUAGCCAAAAAUAACUCAAAUACAUCACAUAAUGCCAAAGGGAACAAACCCAAUCGAGAAAGGUCGAAUCUUUAAUUAAAAUCCUGAAAUCAACCAAAAAAGUCAAACCCAGGCCCGCGCCUUGGAACCCGAUGAAACUUACAAAAUCUGACAACCCAUUCAAUUACGAGUCCAACCAUACUAGUUUCACCCAAAUACGACUCCGAAUCAAUGUUCAAAACUCAAAAAUUCACUCUAUGAAACUUUGGACAAAACCCUCAACUUUCUCUUUAAAAUUCACAAUCCAGUUACUAAAAAUGAAAAUAGAUUCACGAAAUAUAACCAAAACCAAAUAGAGAACACUUAACUCAAUUCAUAUGGUAAAACUCGCCUCAAAAAUUGCCCAAAUCCGAGCUCCCCAACUCAAAAUAUGACAAAAUGAACAAAUCCUCGACAUUAAAUAUUUUUUGCCCAGCUGUUCUGCUUCGUUUCGUAAUGCCAAACGAUCCCGAAACUCGCUUUUGAUGCCUCCAAUGGAUUCCUUGUGAAGUUUAAGUCAAGUUAGGCUUUUGAAUGACCCAAUUUAGCCUUAAAAUAGGGAGAUAUCAUGUUUUGAAGUUUUAAAUGAAGUUUGAAAAUUUAAGGGAUUAAAAAAAAUGACAUUUUCAUAAUUAUUUUACACCAGAAAAUCAGCAACAAAAGAAUUUUCGUUUUAGCACCUAAAACUCAUUCGGAACUUCCCGAACACAAACCAUAUAUGCGUUUCAAUCAUAAAACACGCUAAGAACAUGCUCGCACCAGCGAAAAGAGGUCAUAUUGACCCGUUAUUGACCAUAGUCAUACUCCAUAUCCUUAACUUAACUAGUUUCUCAACCAAUGAUCUAAAACACACCCGAGCCCCUCGGGAUCCUAUUCAAUUGUACCGAUAAGUCUUUAAACAUGAUACGAACUUAUUCGAAGCUUCAAAUCACAUCAAACAACAUAAAAUCCACGAAUCGUACCUCAAAGCAAACUUAAUAAACUUUUGAACUUUCAACUUCCAAAACUCGUGUCGAACCAUAUCAAAUCAACCCGGAAUGAAUUCAAAUUUUUCACACAAGUUCCAAAUGAAAUAACAAAGCUAUUCCGAUUCCUGAAACCAAAAUCCGAAUCCAAAACCAUCGAAGUCAACUAAACUUAUGAACUUUCUAAUUCUUCAAAUUUCUAACUUUUGCCAAUUAACACUAAAUCUUUCUAGAAAUAUCCAAAUGCAAAUCCGGGCAUAUGCCCAAGUCCAAAAUCGCCAUUGGGACCUAACAGAGCCCUCAAAACUACGUUUUGGAGGUCAAAUUCACAAAAGUCAAACUUGGUCAACUCUUACAACUUAAAGCUUCAACGAUGAAAUUCAUUCUUCCAAAUCGAUUCUGAAUAAUCUGAAAACCACAACCGACGAUUCACACAAGUCAUAAUACAUUAUACAGAGCUACUAAUGCCCCCAAACCUCCGAGCAAAGUGUAAAUGCUCGAAACGACCGGUCAGGUCGUUUCAUCCUCCCCCACUUAAACAUACGUUCGUCCUCGAACAUGCUGAGGUUGUUUCAAAGCAAUCAAACCACCGUGUAACCUUACCAUGCACAUACCCGGGAGUGAUCCUACAUCACCCUAUCCCAUAUAGGCCCAACAACACAGCAUAACUGAAGAUCAUUACUUCAACCCUAGCUCGUAAACCACAGAAUCCUAUUUCCAACAUCCGAAAUUUCUUAUAAGAUCUGUAUCUCGCACCUACACACUGUAUAAGUGUGAACAAGAUAUAUUAAGACACAACCUUAACCCAAGAUGAAAUCACAUGAUAUACCACAUAACUCAAAUACUCGUAACAAAAAUUCUGACCACAAUAACUGCUCGAAGCAAACCCGGUACCGGUAAUAAACCUCAUAUCAAACAAAAACUUAUUCUAAAACCUUCGUACACUACCAAUGAUGGAAGAAACACACAGAAACUCAUAACCCAUUAUCAUAUCAACAAGUCAUGGAGCUCCAUCUCCUUCGACAGGAACUAUAGACAAUUCUAAGCUGAUCAACGACAUUAUCCUUCCAAAUAUACCCCAAACAAAUCUGAUAGUAACCAUACUAGGUCUGAUGACCUCAUCUCAUCAUACAACCACUCUAGUGGCAUGCCACAUCAAUACAACCUAAAACCACAACCCACGCAAUUCGUGCACCAAUAAGCAACAACCCAAAUUUACUCAAUCAUGAAAAAUGACUCAAACGAGAGAACCAUCCCGCAAGUUCAACAAGUACCACCACAACUGCAAUGCUACAAAGCCAUCUUACAUAGUAGAACCAAGACACACGAAUCUAACACAAGGAUCAUAUCUCAACAUAACUCUGUUGCAAUGCGUGACCCCAUCCAGACACCGGUUCAUAUGAAAUACCUCAAGCCACCAUGCUCAAAAUCAAUAACUACAUGCAAUUCGACAUCAAAUACCUGAAGUGUAUGACCAUAACCACGGAGAAAUAAAUAGCACAAUAUACCACAGUCCGGAAAGAACAUAACCAAAUGCGCAAUCAAUCAUUCAACACCCUAAUAUACAUCUCACUCAAAUUCUGCUAUAAGGCCCAAAUAGGACCGCACUAUGUGUGCAUAUAACCAACAAAUCGCAAUCCCUCGUAGCAUAGAAGAGUAACUCAUAGAACAUAUCAGAACACAAACAAGCUCAACUCUAGCCGACUGACUCACCCCUCAACACUAACCAUGUUGAGUCAACAAUUCCGACCUAGUGUAGGAUACACAUCCUCAUUAGGCCUACCAAUGGGCCCCCAAAUCAACUUCGGUCAUCCACAAAUAGAUAAUCAACCCUCCAAAAUUUCACAAUAACCUAACCAUAACACAUACCAUCAUCUAGCUAGCCUUGGCCACAACUUCACAGUCCACAACCACAAAACACUCUGCUUCUGAGAACUCCUAGUCUCCAAAUUCAUAAAACACACAAAUCACCAUAUCUGCUCCCAACUCCACCGCCCGAAUGUCUAACACAUCUCCCAUACACGACUAUCCCAUGAGGAAUACUUCCAUAAUUCUUCCGUGCCACAUAGCAAAAUCUGAAUAUCAGCAAUCGGUCAACCAGGUGAGUACGGAAAUACCAAUAAAGCAUAUGUAAAUCGACACUCAGUGCGCCUUCUGAUAUGUGCACCCUUUCUCAGGAAUUACCAAGCAUUUAUAACAUGCAUCUAUAUAUCUGAAACUGUUCAUGUUGUCCAAAAUUCAUGACCUUCCAUCCAAAUAUGAAUCAUUACCUUACACAUGCAAAACUCAAUCCUACACAACACACUGCAUCUAUCAUGCCAUCAUAUGAAACGUACGGGAAUCUCAUAAUCAACUCUAAGUCACGGGCAGAAUACAUACCCGAUCAGUCAGAAACCUUCCAUUUGAUCCCAUCCAGGAGAAAAUCACAAUACGUAACAUGCUCCUCACAUCGGUAGGAAAUAUCCAUCUCAAGCCAUGAUAGAAACCAUCGAGAACUCUUCGAAACCUAUUUUCUCAUAACCAAACCAUAAAAAUUGAGUCUCUCUAACUCAACCAAGCCACGUAAGUCGCCAAACCCAAGAGUAUUGCCACAAAACACCUGUAGAGACUCACUACAUCAUAAAUACCCAAAGAACUGUUUAUAUCCAUUACCGUGCUGAUCCAACCUACUACCAAGUUGUCCUAUUUCUCCGAGUUCCUUCCUAAUUACCCUCAAGUUAACACUUCUCCUUGCCAGAACAUCACGAUCCUUACCUAAAGCUCACCACCAGAGAUCCUAGCAUAAAACCACACCGCCCUACCAUAAGCCGUCGUAUUCCCCCUUAAGCACUCCAAAAGUACCACAACUGAGACACCCACUCUAAAGAGACCUUCUGUGAGUAUAAAGUUGUUUCCUUCACCUUUCUGAUACUGAAAUAUAGAAUCCAUAAUGAUAUAGAAAUACCACGAGUUCCGACACCAUCUAAUGUGAAUCUCAGUUUCUAGCCAUAUACUAAUCCGCAAAAUUCUCAAUUGCUACAUGUAAAUCUUGAAUCUCUUCGAACCUUUUCAAGAGUCAUCCACUACGCUCAAAUCUCAAUUGCACUGAUCAACGGGCCAAACGAUGUGUGCCCCAUUAGCACAACAACACCCAAAGAAGUAAUUCACAUCUUUCAGCAACCGAGCAAUUUCCUACUCCACAUGCAUUACCUCCUUCAUGAAUAACAACUCAAUCAUCCCAUGAUUCACAUAUACCCAUAAAGUGUAACAUAACCCGUAUCCAUAAAUUUCUUUACUCGAGCCAUCCUCGAUCUCAAUCUUUACAAGUCACAACCGAUUUACAAGUAUACCCUAAACUGAAACCAAUAUAACACAUAAUCGUGCAAUCGACUCGUCGAUAGCAGGCUCCCCCACUUGGAUCAAAGCCAUGGAAUAAAACAUCUGAUAACUCGCAACACUCAUACUCUAUUACUACCAUAAUAUUGCUGGGAGAUUCAACUAAAUCCUUUAUAAUUUCACAUAACACAAACCAUAUAGUACCUUCAAUCAUCUACUAAGCUCGCAUACAUCCACGUGACAGUCAGGUCAAUUGUUACAACCGAUCCAAACUAAAAUCUCACAAAUAUAACCCACUGGUAGAAAGGAAAGCCUCCACACAACAUCAUAAAAAUCACACAUUCGUAGAUUACCUCGCAGGUACCUACCUGCUUAGCGUCAAACUGAUCUCUUUAUACCCUUUCACAUCCACAACUACUAUGCAAUCACUUAAUCUUCCUGAGUCUGAACUCGUCAACAAGACAUAAAAAUCUACUUCGUUCCACAAUUAAUCAACAUGAAAAAAAAAAUCUUUCAACACACUCAUAACUUGAUAUUGUGCGUCACAUCAAGACAACAAUCUAGCACCUAAUAGUCCUUUUUACAUCUCAAUCAAACUAUUCUCGUCACAAUCAAACCAUCUGAACAUAUUCUGCAGUCACAUCAUACUUAUCAUAUAGCCAUCCAACUACUAAUCGAGUUACAAAUUCCACUUAUAGGGACACUACCAGGCAUAUAAGUCCAAAAGUAUGUGCUCACAUAACUGAAAUCCCCGUGCUUGAGCUACAGUCAAAACCCGGCCUCAAGUCCUCUAGACUGGGCCAUCAUCAGCAUGCCAAAAUCACAUCUCAUACCGCAUCCAUGGAAUAACAAGUCGUCGAUGCACAGCUGAUACUGAGAGCUCACAUGCGCAUACGAAUGCGUGGAAGGAAUUCAAAGAGUUACACUUCAAGCUGAAUCAAUAUCGCACGAUAAGGAAAAAAAGAUGGAAAAUUUAUCCUAAAUACCAUGUAUCCUCUCGAAGAUAGGUAUGGACGUCAUCAUACCAAUCCGCAAAACUCUACUACAUGUUUACUCAUAACUUGUAGAACCUAUGAACCUAGAAAUCUGAUAUCAACUUAUCACGACCCAAAAUCCACCUAGUCGUGAAGGCACCUAACCCAACCCGUCAGGUAAGCCAAUUAACAAUUAUAAAAUUUAAUAAGAUUUAUUAAGAUAAGAAAUAAUAAUGCACCGCUUUUAUACAAAAAAAUUUCCAAAGAGUAGUAGUACAAAUCAUGAGCUUCUAAUAUUAGAAUUUACAAAACUGGGAUGAAAUAAAUACAUCAUAUGUUUGAAAUGUACAUAAAUAUAUAUUUAUAAAUCUAAGGCUACCAUGAACAAUAGCCAGCUACAACCGGAACACAAGUACGUCUUCAAAUCCUGCUCCCGUCGAUCACAUCAACAUCAAUAUCCAAUAUCUACAAGCAAGGUGCAGACGUGUAGUAUGAGUACAACCGACCACAUGUACUCAAUAAGUAACAAACCUAACCUUAGGAUGAAAGUAGUGACGAGUUGGAACACAUGUCGGGGUCCAACACCAAUAGCCAACAAUAGUUCAUAACAACAUAACGAAAGUAAUAAAAGAAGUAGCUCAGAAAUAAAAUGCUCAGCUCAUUUACAGUUCCAGAAAAAUAGGCCUACUUUCCAAGUAUAUCAGUGAAACCCCAAAUAUUUUACCGAAAUCACCAAAAUAUGAGUACGUUUUGUAAAACUGUGAUUUUUCCCAAAAUCUUUCAACUAGUAAAUGUUUCAUUUUAAAAUGGCAUGAGAAAAAUACAUCUUUAUGCCUACAUGUCAAUGAGUAUGUGAAGUCAUGAAUGAUGCAGUAUCGUACAGCAUGAGGAAAAUGCAUCAACAUGCAUGUAUGUCAAGUGUGUAUGUUAAUGCGAUGCAACUCAGUGAUAAAACCAUAUGCAUAUUCUCAGAGUAUCAAUUCACUCAGUCCUCCCAGUCACCCAAUCCUCCCAAUCGCUUGGCACUCGCACUUAGUAGGUGCAUGCGCUCACUGGGGGUGUGUACAGACUCAGGAGGGGCUCCUUCUGCCUAAGUGCUAUAACAAGCCAAUCAUGGCAUAAAUCAAUAAGACAUGUUACGGCGUGCAGCCCGAUCCCAUAAACAUCCUCACCAUCAAGCCCUCGGCCUCACUCAGUCAUCAAUCUCUCCAGUCUCUCGGGCUCACAAUGUCAUGAAAAUCAUCCCAAAAUGAUGAUGUGAUGUAUCAAUAUAUGGUGACGGGGACUAAGAUAUGAUAUGCAAAUGAAUGCGUAUGAAUGCAUAUGAAUGAGUAUGUAAUUGCAAUGUAAGUAAAUAAUUCAAUAACAGCAAUGACCUCGGUGGGUCCCAACAGAAUAAAUAUGUGGUUUAGACAUGGUUUCUAGCAUGAAUCACAGCUCAAAAGCUCUAGUUCGUAGAGAUUUCAUUAUUCUAGAUAAGAUUAGGUAACCAUACAUUACCGCAGAAAUAACGGAGUCACAUUUCACAUGAUGCAUGCCCACGCGCCUGUCACCACGCAUGUGCAUCACCUCAACAUCAAACACAUAACAAGUAUAAUCAGGGUUCAUACCCUCAGUUCCAAGUUUAGAAGUGUUACUUACCUCGAACAAGCCAAAUCCAAUACCGAGCAAGCCAAACGAUACUCAAAAAUGCCAUUCCACACGUACCGACCUCUGAAUAGUUCGAAACUAGCCAAAAGCAACUCAAAUACAUCAAAUAAUGCCAAAGGGAACAAACCUAAUCUAUAAAGGUCGAAUCCUGAAAUUGACAGAAAAGUCAAACCCGGGCCUACGCCUCGAAACGCGAUGAAACUUAUAAAAUCCGACAACCCAUUAAAUUACGAGUUCAACCAUACUAGUUUCACCCAAAUCCGACUCCAAAUCGAUGUUCAAAACUCAAACAUUCACUUUAUGAAACUUUGGACAAAACCCCCCAAUUUUCUCUUUAAAAUUCUCAAUCCAAUUACCAAAUAUGAAACUAGUUUCAUAAAAUAUAAUCAAAACUGAGUAGAGAAUACUUAAUACAAUUCAUAUGGUGAAAAGCACCUCAAAUAUUGCCCAAAUCCGAGCUCCCCAACUCAAAAUAUGACCAAAUGAACAAAUCCUCGACAUUAAAUAUUGUUUGCCCAGCUGUGCUACGUCGUUGUGUGCCAAAUAAUCCCAAAACUCGCUUUUGAUGCCUCUAAUGGAUUCCCUAUGAAAUUUCAGUCAAGUUAGGCUUUUGAAUCACUCAAUUUGGCCUUAAAUGAGGUAGGUAUGAUGUUUUGAAGUUUUAAAUGAAGUUUGGAAAUUUAAGGAAUAAACAAAAUGAUAUUUCCGUAAUUAUUUUACGCCAGAAAAUCAGAAACAAAAGAAUUUUCGUUUUAGCACUCAAAACUCAUUCGGAACCUCCUGGACACAAACCAUAUAUGCAUUUCAAUCAUAAAACACGCUACGAGCAUGCUCACGUGAUCAAAAGAGCAAAAAAGGGUCAUCUUGACCCAAUAUUGACCAUGGUCAAACUCCAAAUUCUUAACUUAACUAGUUUCUCAACCAAUGACCUAAAACACACCCGAGCCCCUCGGGACCACAUUCAAUCAUACCAACAAGACUUAAAACAUGAUAUAAAAUUAUUCGAAACUUCAUAUCACAUCAAACAACAUAAAAACCACGAAUCGUACCUCAAAAUCAAACUUUUGAACUUUCAACUUCCAAAACUCAUGCCGAACCAUAUCAAAUCAACCCGGAAUGAACUCAAUUUUUUCAAACAAGUCUCAAAUGAUAUAACAAAUAUAUUCCAAUUCCCGGAACCAAAAUUCAAAUCUGAUACCAUCGAAGUCAACUUCCGGUCAAACUUAUGAACUUUCAAAUUCUUCAAAUUUCCAACUUUUGCUAAUUGGCACCGAAUCCUUCUAGAAAUAUCCAAAUGCAAAUCCGGGCAUAUGCCCAAGUCAAAAAUCACAUCAGGGCCUAAUGGAGCCCUCAAAACUACAUUUCGGGGGUCAAAUUCAAAAAAGUCAAACUUGGUCAACUCUUCCAACUUAAAGCUUCAACGAUGAAAUUCAUUCUUCCAAAUCAAUUCUGAAUAACCUGAAAACCACAACUGACGAUUCAUAAAAGCCAUAAUAUAUCAUACAGAGCUACACAUGGCCCCAAACCUCUGAGCGAAGUGCAAAUGCUCUAAACAACAAGUCGGAUCAUUUCAGUAUGAAAUCCCAAAUUGUGUGCUAUGUGUUUGGUAUUGAGGUGACGCACAGUGCUAGGUGACGGGCGUGUGGGCAUGCACCAUGUGAAUUGUGACUCCGUUAUUUGUGUGGUACUGUGUAGUUACCUGAUCUUAUCUAUAACCAUGAAAUCUCUACGUUCUAGAUCUAUUGAGCUGUGAUCCAUGUUAGAAACCAUAUCUAGGCUACAUGCUUAUUCUGUUGGGACCCAGUGAGGUCAUUUCUGUUGUUGGGGUAUUUGCUUACAUUGCAAUUUGAUACUCAGUCAUGUUUAUUUAUUUCAUAUCAUAUCUUAAUCUUUGUUUCUAUAUAUUGACACAUCAUAUCAUCAUUGUUGGGCUUAUUUCAUGGCAUUAUGAGACCGAGAGACUAGAGAGAUUGAUGACUAAGUGAGGUCGAGGGCCUAAUUGUGAGUGAUAUUAUAGGAUCAGGCUGUACGCCAUAGCAUGUUAUAUUGAUUUAUGCCUGGAUCUGGCUUAUUGUGGCUUCUGGGCUGAAAGAGCCCCUUCAGAGUCUGUACACACCUCCAGUGAGCCAGUUGAUUAUAUUGAGGCAUGGAUAUUCCUUGGGCAUGGAUCUUGCCCGAAGCAUUUAUAUUUGGGGAUGGAUCUUCCCUAGGCUGGAUUGGCCUUAUGCAGUACUGAGUCACUGACUGUCAAUAUAUAUAUAUAUAUUUGGGAUGGAUCUUCCCUGGGCUGAAUUGGCCAUAUACAAUACUGAGUGACUGAGCGUGUCGAAUGAUUGAGCAUGAUGAGUGGAAAGUGUGAGACAGUGAGAUCGAGUACUCUAAGAGUGUCAGUACAUGAGUUCAUCAUUGAGAUACAUUGCAUUUGACAUGCAUACUUGAUAUACAUGCAUAGAGAUGCACUUCUUUAUGCCACUCUAAUUUUGGUGUCAUUCAUGAUUUCACCUCCAUAUUGACAUGUAGGCAUAGAGAUGUAUUUUCCUCAUGCCAUUUGAUAAUGAAACAUCUUAUCUGUUGUUGAAAAGUUUUUGGAAAAAAUUACAGUUUUCAAACUUACUCAUAAAUUUAGUGAUUUCGGUAAAGGAUUUGGGUUUUCACUGAUAUACUUGAAAAGGAUGCCUAUUUUUCUGGAACUAUGAACGAGCUGAGCAUUUUAUCUCUGGGCUACUUCUUUUAUUACUUCCAUUAUAUUGUUAUGAAUUGUCGUUGACUAUUGGUGUUAGACCCCGACCUGUGUUCCAGCUCGUCACUACUUUCAACCUAAGGUUAGGUUGGUUACUUAUUGAUUACAUGGGGUCGGUUGUACUCAUACUACACUUCUGCACCUUACGUGUAGAUGUUGGAUAUUAAUGUUGUUAUGAUCGACAGGAGCUGAAUUUGAAGAUGUACCUAUGUUCCGGUUGUAACUGCCUUUUAUUCAUGGUAGCCUUAGAUUUAUAAAAAUUUGUUUAUGUAUAUUCGGAAAGAUGAUGUAUUUAUUUCAUACUAGCUUUGUAAACUAUAAAUCUUUGAAGCUCAUGAUUUGUACUACCAGUCCUUGGGAAAUUCUUGUAUAAAAUCAGUUGUAUUUUUAUUUAUUUUCUUAAUAAAUCUCAUUUAAAUUGGAUAGUUAUUAAUGGGCUUACUUGACGGGUUGGGUUAUGUGUCAUCACGACUAGGUGUAUUUUGGGUCGUGACAAGGUGGUAUCAAAGCUCUAGGUUCAUAGGUUCUACGAGUCAUGAGAAAGUGUCUAGUAGAGUUUUGCGGAUCGGUAUGAUAACGUCCAUACCUAUCUUCGAGAGGUUACAAGGCAUAUAGGAUAAACUUUCCAGCUUUAUUUUCUUUAACGUGCGACAUUGAUUCAGCUUGAAAAGUAACUCUUUGAAUUAUUUCCACGCAAUCGUGUGCGCAUGUGAGCGCUCAGUAUCAGAUGUGCAUCGACGGCUUAUGAUUCCAUGGAUGAUGUGCGAGAUGUGAUUUGUGUGUGCUGAUGAUGGGCUGGUCUAGAGGACUUAAGGUCGAGUUUUGACCGUAGCUUGAGCACGAGGACUUCGGUUUUGUGAGCACGUGCUUUUGGACUUAUAAGCCUCGCAGUGUCCCUAUUAGUGGAAUUUAUAGCUCGAUGAGUGGUUGGAUGGCUAUAUAAUGAAUAUGAUGUGACUACGGGAUGUGUUCAGAUGGAUUUAAUGUGACAAGAAGAGUUUGCUUGAGAGGUAAAAAGGACUAUUGGGUUCUUGAUUUCUGUCUUGAUGUGACGUAUAGUCUCGAGUUUUGAGUGUAUUGGAGGAUCUUUCAUAUUGUUUAACUGUGGAACGAAUCAUGUUCUCAUGCCUUGUUGGUGAGUUCAAACUCAAGAAGAUUAAGUGAUUGUGUAGUAGUUGUGGUUGUGAAAAGGUAUAAAGAGAUGUCAGUUUAAGACUAAGCAUGUGGGUUAUAACCUGCGAGGUAAUCUAUGGAUGUGUGAUUUUUAUGAUGUUGUGUGGAGGCUUUCUUUUCUACCAGUGGGUUAUGUUUGUGCGAUUUGAGUUUGGAUCGGUCGUAAUAGUUGACCUGACCGUCACGAGGAUGAAUGCGAGAUUUGCAGAUGAUUUGAGGUAUUAUAUGGUUGUGUUACCUGAGCUUAUUAAGGAUUGAGUUGAACUUCGGUGUGGGAUUAUUGCAGUAAUAGGGUAUGUCUAUUGUAAGAUGUCAGAUGUUUUAUUCCAGGGCUCUGAGACAAGUGGGGGAGUUUGUUAUCGUCGAGUGUAUUGCACGGUUAGGUGUUGUAUUGGUUUCGAUUUUAGGUAUACUUAUGAAUCAGUUAUGACCUGUAGAGGUUGAGAUUUAGGACCACUCGAUAAGGGAAUUUUUGGAUACGGGUUGUACUACACUUUAUGGGUAUAUAGAAAUCACGGGAUGAUUUGAGUUUGUUAUUCGUGAUGAAUGUAGUGUGCGUGGAGUAGGGAUUCACUCGAUUUCUUAGAUGUGUGGGUUACUUCUUUUGGUGUUGUUGAGCUAAUGGGGCAUAGGUUGUUUGGCCCGUUUGGUCGGUGCAAUUGAGAUUUGAGCAGAGUAGACGAUUCUCGAGAAGGUUCUAAUAGAUUCAAGAUUUAUAUGUAGCAAUUGAGAAUUUUGCAGAUUUGUAUAUAGCUAGAAUAUGAGAUUUAAGUUGGGUAGUGUCGAGACUUGUGGCAUUUCUAUAUCAUUAUGGAUUAUAUAUUUCAGUAUCAUGAAGGUAAAGGAAACAACUUUAGACUCAAAGAAGGUCUCUUCAGAGUGGGUGUCUCGGUUGUGGUACUUUUGUGUUGCUUAAGGGGGAAUACGACGGCUAUUGGGCCUUAGGGCGGUGUGCUUUUAUUCUAGGAUCCCGUGGGGUGAGUUUUGGUUAAGGAUCGGGGUAUUCUGGCAAGGAAAAAUAUCAACUAGAAGGCAAUUCAGAAGAAAAAUAGGACAACUUGAUAGUAGGUUAGAUCAGCAGAGUAAUGGAUACAAUCGGUUCUUUGGAUACUUACGAUGUGGUGAGUCUCUACGGGAGUUUUGUGGCAAUACUCUUGGGUUUGGCGACCGGCGUGGCUUGGUUGAGUUAGAGAGAUUCAGUUCUGAUGGUCUGGUUAUGGGAAAAUGAGUUUCGAAGAGUUCUCGAUGAUUUCUAUCAUGGCUUGGGAUGGAUAUUUCCUACCGGCGUAAGGAGCAUGUUUCGUAUUGUGAUUUUUCUCCUGGAUGAGAUCAAAUGGAAGGUUUUCGACUGAUCGGGUAUGUAUUCUGCUUGUGACUGAGAGUUGAUUAUGAGAUUCUCGUACGUUUCAUAUGAUGGCAUGAUAAAUGCGGUAUGUUGUGUAGGAUUGAGUUUUGCAUGUGCAAGGUCACGGUUCAUAGUUGGGGGGAGGUUAUGAAUUUUGGACAACAUGGACAGUUUCAGAUAUAUAUAGAUGAAUGUUAUCACCGCUUGGUAAUUCCUGAGAAGGGUGCACAUUUCAGAAGGUACACCGAGUGUUGAUUUACGGAUGCUCUAUUGGGUUUUGCAGUACUCGCCAGGUUGACCGACUGUUGUUAUUCAGAUUUUGCUAUGUGGCACGAAAGAAUUAUGGAAGUAUUCCUCAUGGGAUGAUCGCGUAUGGGAGAUGUGUUAGACAUUCGGGCGAUGGAGUUGGGAGAAGAUAUGGUGAUUCAUGUGUUCUAUGAAUUUAGAGACUGGGAGUUCUCAAAAGCAGAUUAUUUCAUGGUUGUGGACUGUGAAGUUGUGGCCAAAGCUAGCCAGAUCAUAGUAUGUGUUAUGAUUCAGCCAUUGUAGAUUUAGGAGGGUUAUUUAUCUAUUUGCGGGUGACCAUAGUUGAUUUGGGGUCCAUUUGGUAGACCCAACGAGGAUGUGUAUUCUACACUGGGUCGGAUUGGUUGACUCUGUAUUGCUAUUGUUGAGGGAUGUGCCAUUCGAUUAGAGUUGAGUGUAUUCGUGUUCUGAUAUGUUCUAUGAGUUACCCUUCUAUGCCACGAGGGGUUUUGAUUUAUUAGUUAUAAGCACACCUGAUGCGAUUCUGUUUGGGUCUUGUAGCGGGAUUUGAGCGAGAUGGUUAUUGGGGUGUCGAAUGGUUGAUUGCGCCUUGGUUAUAUUCUCUCCGGAUUGUGGUAUAUUUUACUUUUUGCUUCUCCAUGGUUAUGGUUAUACACUUCGGGUAUUUGAUGUCGAAGUGUGUGUAGUUGUUAAUUUUGAGCAUGGUGGCUUGAGGUAUUCCAUAUGGACCCGUGUCUGGAUGGGGUCACGCAUUGCAGCUGGUUUAUGUCGGGAUAUGAUCCUUUGUGUUAGAUUCGUAUGUCUUGGUUCUACUAUGUAAGAUGUGUUUGUAACAUUGCGGUUGUGGUGGUACUUAUUGAGCUUGCAAGACAGUUCUCUCAUUGGAGUCAUUUUCUAUAUUUAAGUACAUUUGAAUUGUUGCGUAUUGGUACACAGAUUGCACGGUUUGUGGCUCUGAGUAGUUUGGUUGGCAUGUCAGUAGAGUAGCUUGUAUUUGAUAAGGUGAGGCCGUUGGACCUAGAAUGGGUGCUAUCGGAUCUGAUUGCGGUAUAUUUGGAAGGAUAAUGUUUCUGAUCGUCUUAGAAAUUGGCUAUAAUUCUUGUCGAAGGAUAGGGAGCUCCAUGGCUUGUUGAUCUGAUAAGUGGUCAUGAGUUUCUGCGUGUUUCUUUAAUCAUUGGUAGUGUACGAAGGUUUUUAGAAUGAGAUUUUGUUUGAUACAAGGUUUAUUACCAGUAUCGGGUUUUCUUCGAGCAGUUAUUAUGGUCAAAAUUAUUGCUAUGAGUAUUUGAAUCAUGUGGUAUAUCAUAUGAUUGCAUCUUGGGUUAUGGUUAUGGCUUGAUACAGCUUGUUCACACUUAUACAGUGUGUAGAUAGGAGAUUCAGAUCUUAUAGGAUCACCCUCGGGUAUGUGCGUUGUAAGGUUACACGGUGAUUUGAUGGCUUUGGAACUACUCUUGGCACAUUCGAGGUCGAAAAUAUGUUUAAAUGGGGGAGGAUGUAACGACCCAACUGGUCGUUUUGAGCAUUUGCACUUCGCUCGAUAGUUUUAGGGCAUUAGUAGCUCCGUAUGAUGUAUUAUGACUUGUGGGAAUCGUUGGUUUUAGUUUUCAGAUUAUUCAGAAUCGAUUUGGAAGAAUAAAUUUCAUUCUUGAAGCUUUAAGUUAGAAUAGUUGACCAAGUUUGACAUUUUAGCAUUUGAUCUUGGGUUGGUGUUUUGAUGGUUCUGUUAGGUGCGGAUGGUGACUUUGGACUCGGGCGUAUGCUCGGAUUUGCAAUUGGAUAUUUCUAGAAGGUUUCGACGCUAAUUGGUGAAAGUUGGAAUUAAAGAAUUGGAAAAUUCAUAAGUUUGACCGGGAGUUGAAUUUGAUGAUAUCAGAUUCGGAUUGUGGUUCCAGGAAUUAGAAUAACUUCAUUAUGUCAUUCGGGAUUUGUGUGCAAAAUUUGAGUUUAUUACGAGUUGAUUUGAUAUGUUUCGGCACGAGUUUUGGAAGUUGAAAGUUCAAAGUUCAUUUAUGUUUGAUUUGAGAUGUGAUUCAUCAUUUUGAUGUUGUUAUGUGUGAUUUGAGGCAUCGAGUAGGUCCGGUUUAUGUUGUGGGUCUUAUUGGUAUAUUUGGACGGGGUCCCGAGGGGCUUGGUGAGUUUCGGAUGAGGUUCGUACCAUUUCGGCUCAUGUUGCAUUUGGCUAAGGCUGCUAGUUCUGGUGUUUUCGCAUCUGCGGAAGAAUGAAUGCAGAUGCGGACAGUUGGUCGGGGAAGCAAAAGAAGUUUGGCUGGGGAUCAUCGCAUAUGCGGAGGAAGAAGCGCACAUGCGUGUGCGGAGAAGCGAAAGUUGUGAUCGCAGAAGCGGUUGAGUGCGCAGAAGCGUGUCUUGUCUCGCACCUACGCUUGCGUAGAAGCGGUGCCUGUUGCGCAAGUGCGGAAGAGAUGAACUCCAGGGUUUUCAGCAGAAGCAAGGAUUUUGUCGCAGAAGCGACCUUUUGUUCGCAAAAGGGAAAAUGCUGGGCAGAAGCUAUAUAUCGAGGUUUUGGGUUACUUUAUCAUACUUUGAGAUAUGGGACUAUGAUUGAGGCGAUUUUGGAGGCAAAUUUCAUCCUAAGAUUGGGGUAAGUGUUUUACACUCGGUUUUGAUUAUAUUUCAUGAUUUUAUCUUCAUUUUUGGUAAUUAGAUUAUGAGCUUUAAAGAGAAAAUUGGGGAUUUUAGCCUAAAGCUUCAUAGAAUGCGUUUUUGACUUUUGAAUGUUGAUUUGGAGUCGAAUUUGAGUGAAACUAGUAUGGUUGGACUCGUAAUUGAAUGGUUUGUCAGAUUUUAUAAGUUCCGUCGAGUUCCGAGGCGCGGACCUGGGUUGGACCUUUUGGUUGAUUUUGGGCUUUUGAUUAAAAAUUUGACCUUUAUCGAUUGGGUUUGUUUCCUUUGGCAUUAUUUGAUGUAUUUGAGCUGCUUUUGGCUAGUUUCGAGCCGUUGGAAGGUCGGUAUGCGUGGGAUGGCAUUUUUGGAGAAUCGCUUCAGUUGCUCGGUAUUGAAUUUGGCUUGUUCUAGGUAAGUAAAACUUCCAAACUUGGUGCUGAGCGUAUGAAAUCCCGAGUUACGUGUUAUGUGUUUGGUGUUGAGGUGACGCACAUGCUAGGUGACGGGCGUGUGGGCGUGCACCGUGUGAAUUGUGACCCCGUUAUUUCUGUGGUACUGUGUAGUUACCUGAUCUUAUCUGUAAACAUGAAAUCUCUACGUUCUAGAGCUAUUGAGCUGUGAUCCAUGUUAGAAACCAUGUUUAGGCUACAUGCUUAUUUUGUUGGGACCCACUGAGGUCAUUUCUGCUAUUGAAUUAUUUGCUUACAUUGCAUUUUCAUACUCAGUCAUGUUCAUUCAUUUCAUAUCAUAUCUCAGUCUCUGUUGCUAUAUAUUGACACAUCAUAUCAUCAUUUUUGGGCUAGUUUCAUGGCAUUGUGAGCCCGAGAGACUUGAGAGAUUGAUGACUAAGUGACGUCGAGGGCUUAAUUAUGAGUGAUAUUAUGGGAUCGGGUUGCACGCCGCAACAUGUUAUAUUGAUUAAUUCCUGGAUCUGGCUUAUUAUGGCACUUGGGUUGAAGGAGCACCUCCAGAGUCUAUACACAACCCCAAUGAGCAUGGAUGGAUCUUCAUUGGGCAUGGAUCUUGCCCGAAGCAUUUAUAUUUGGAAAUGGAUCUUCCCUGGGCUGAAUUGACCAUUUACAGUACUGAGUGACUGAGCGUGUCGAGUGAUUGAGCAUGAUGAGUGGAAAGUAUGAGACUAUGAGAUCGAGUACUCUAAGAGUGUGAGUACAUGAGUUCAUCACUUAGAUACAUUGCAUUUGACAUGCAUACUUGAGAUACAUGCAUAGAGAUGCAUUUCUUUAUGGCACUCCAGUUUUGGUGUCAUUUAUGAUUUCACUUGCAUAUUGACAUGUAGGAAUAGAGAUGUAUUUUCCUCAUGCCAUUUGAUAAUGAAACAUCUUAUCUGUUGUUGAAAAGUUUCUGGAAAAAUCACAGUUUUCAAACUUACUCAUAAAAUUGGUGAUUUCUGUAAAGGAUUUGGGUUUUCACUGAUAUACUUGAAAAGUAGGUCUAUUUUUCUAGAACUAUAAACGAGCUAAACAUUUUAUCUCUGAGCUAAUUCUUUUAUUACUUCAAUUAUGUUGUUAUGAACUGUUGUUGGCUAUUGGUGUUGGACCUCGGCCUGUGUUCUAGCACGUCACUACUUUCAACCUAAGGUUAGGUUUGUUACUUAUUGCAGAUGUUGGAUACCGAUGUUGUUGUGAUCGACGGGAGCUAGAUUUGAAGACGUACCUGCGCUCUGGUUGUAGCUGCCUCUUGUUAAUGGUAGCCUUAGACAACAACAACAACAACAAUCCAAUAUAAUCCCACUAGUGGGGUCUGGUGAGGGUAGUAUGUACGCAGACCUUACCCCUACCCUAGGGUAGAGAGGCUAUUUCCGAUAGACCCUCGGCUCCCUCCCUCCAUGAAUUAUGUUUAUGUAUAUUCGGACAAAUGAUGUAUUUAAUUCAUACUAGUUUUAUAAACUCUAAAUUUUAAAAGCUCAUGAAUUUUAAUACCAGUCCUUGUGAAAUUCUUGUAUAAAAGCAAUUGUAUUUUUAUUUCUUUUCUUAAUAAAUCUCAUUUAAAUUGGAUAGUUGUUAAUGGGCUUACCUGACGGGUUGAGUUAGGUGCCAUCACGACUAAGUGGAUUUUGGGUCGUGACACCUCUCCUCUCAACAGCUUUAUAAAAAAAACAGAAACUUGAACCAAAUUCAUCUUCAGAAUUCAGAAUUCAAAAUUACAAAAUAUAUUGUAAGUAUUGCAAUUCAUCUUCACCAUUCGCAUUAGUUUGUCAAACUAAUUGAACUUCAUCAUAUAUAUAUUUCUGUAAUUAUUUUGAUAAUUCGUCAUAUUUUUUAAGUUUUGAACUUAAAAAAUAAAAUCUUAAUUCAAUUAACGCCUAUAGAUAUUUUCACUUAUGCUCAUUUACAAAUCACACUUGCAUGAAGUUGUUUGACAGAUAUAGCAUGAAGUUUUCACUUAUAGAUCUUCAAAAACUUUUCAAAACUUCAAAUUUAAUACGUGAAGGAUAUAGAAAAAAGUUGUUUCAUGUUGAAGUCUGAAAAUUUAGUCAAAUCCAAGCUAAAACUUCAUGCUAAUGUAGCAUGAAAUUGUUUCACGUUAAAGCUAAAACUUCAUGCUAAUGUAGCAUGAAGUUGUUUCAUGUUGAAGCUAAAACUUCAUGCUAAUGUAGCAGGAAGUUGUUUCACGUUGAAGCUAAAACUUCAUGCUAAUGCAUGCUGAAGUUAUUUAGUUCAUUUGCUAAAACUUCAUACCAAAAUAUGUUGAAGUUUUGUCCUGCACUCUACAGUUUUGUCAUGAGUUUUUUCUGAAACUUCAGUCUAAACAUGCUGAAAUUUUUUAGUUCAUUUUCUAAAACUUCAGACUAAAUAUGCUUAAGUUUUUGUCCUGCAGUAUGUAAUUUUCUAACGCGUUUUUGCUAAACUUCAUACUUAUACAUGCUAAAGUUUUUUAUUCAUUUCCUAACACUUCACACUAAACAUGCUGAAGUUUCCAUACUGCAGGAUGAGUUCGAUUUGCCUUGUUAUUACUUUCAAUGGGAUAUGUACUUUUGAUUACAUUGGAUCAUGAUACAAAACUUGUUCUGGUUAAUAAACAAGUAUCAUUCAACACUUUUCUGAAGAAAAUUAGUGAAGUCAUAGAUUUUGAUUCAACCAAAUAUGCACUAAAACAUAUGGUUUGAUAUCAAACUAAAUACAAGCAAAGGGAUCCUUGCAACUUCAUAUGAAGAACUCAGAACCUGUAUACAUUUGCUAACAACUGAUUCAGUCUUCAAGAAUUGUCAUUUUGUUAUCAAAAAAAUACAACUACUUUCUGGCAGUAUAUCUACUUUAGAAUCUGCAACAUUCAUUUCACGACCCAAAAUCCACUAUAAGUCGUGAUGGCGCCUAACGCCGCCGUCAGACAAGCAAACGGUGAUUUACCAAUUUGAUUGCUCAUUUGAUUACUUUUGAAAUCACAAAUUUUAAUAAGAAAAGGAGAUUUAAAUUUCCAAGUCAUGGGAACGUACAACAUUUGUAAUUUAUAAAAGAAAUAAAAGGCAAUAAUAAUGUACGAAACUCUAACCAUCAACUAGUAUAACCCCAAAAUCCGGUGUCACAAGUGCAUGAGCAUUUUCUAAGGAGUGAAAUAAUAAUACAACAUAUGUCCAGAAUGUAAAAAAGACAGGAUAAAAUAAACAGUACGAUGGAGACUCGGUGGGCUGUGAUGCGUAGCCUGGAUUGCAACUCACAUAAAGUCUCCUCAACAAAUAUGCCUACGCGCCAAGAUGAUCACCGAAUGAACCUGUCGGAUCCUGCACAUUUAGUGCAGAAGUGCGGCAUGAGUACGUAAAUCAACGUGUACCCAGUAAGUAUCUAGCCUAACCCCGGAGAAGUAGUGACGAGCGGUCGACAUCGACACUUACUAGAGGUCCAAUAAAAUAAUAUAAUAAUUCAUAAAAGAUAUGAAGUGCACAUCGAUAGUGGGGUAAAUCUGUAAAUUUUAUAAUUUUCCAAAUAUUUAUUUUAAAGUAUAAAUUUCUCGAUCUUGUAUUCUACCUUAACAGCUCAGAAAAAUGCCAAGUGCCAAUAUCAAAUAAAUAAGGAAUACCAUAAAAAUAUCGGGCAUCCGUGGAAGGUUUAUCUCGUGAAUAUUCAGACUACUAGCGAUAUAUCGCACAAUUCUGCCGAGGUUGUUCGGCCCGAUCCAGAAUAAUGUGUACACUGCCGAGGGUCGAGCGGCACGAACCAUAGAUGUAUCUAUUAAAUUGCCGAGGCGUUCAGCCCACUGUUGAUACCCAGUUUUUCCUUCAUUUAGUUUAGAAACCUAUAUAAGUUUUUUUCAUAAUUUUUCAUAAUUUUUUAAAGGCUUUAAAUCAAUUUCUUUCUGCAUUUUAUUGUAUAAAUAUCUAAUAAUUAUCCUUCAAAUUAUUUUUUAUGAUGAUUUAAUCAUCCAAACUUAUCAUUUACACCAAAAUAUAUGUUUUAAAUGUUUUACUCCAUUUUUUAUAAUUACAUUUGUAUUUUUAGGCCAAUUGCACAUUUUUGCAAUAAUAGCGCAUAUUUAUGUAUAAUUACAUUAUUUAUGCAAAUAAUAACUUUUUAUAUUUUUAUAUUAUUAAGUUAUUAUUUUUAAUCAUUUUAGUACACAAAUAAUCUUUUUUUAUUCAUUAAUUACUUUUGUAAAUUAUUUUUUCUAAAAUAUUAGGUAUUUAAAAACUAGCCCCACUUUUAAACCUAUUUUCGGACCAAAUAAUGGUCCAAAACACCUAAUACACUAGCCCAAUAAUCCCAGCCCAAAACCAAUAACCCAAUCUCACAACCCGGUCGUGACCCGUCCAAAUAAACCCAACCCAACCCCCUUUUAAUCGUGGUCGUUGAUCUCCACAUCCUCUCUUUUAAUUACCCCAAACACCCAACCCUAAUCCCCAUUUCUCACCGUCUGCCGCCCCCAUAUCCUCUCAACCCCUUCUCCAUCUCUCAAGAACCCUAGCCGCCGCCCCCUAAAUCUUUUUCUAAUCCCACAUAAUAUGGGAUUCCAUGGCUAUUACUUACCAUACUCAACCCCUUUCUGGUACUGGCUACUCUCCUAUAGUGCUUGCCUAAACUUGGCAGGCAGAUCUUAUCAAAAUCCCUAAAAAGAUAAGUCUGAAGUUUUGCAAAAACUCAUUAGAAAAAUACAUACUGCAGGACAAAACUUCAGCAUUUUUAGUCUGAAAUUUAGCAAAUAGACUAAAAAACUUCAGCAUGUUUUCUCUGAAGUUUCGGAAAAACUCAUUACAAAAUUUGCAAACUGCUGGACAAAACUGCAGCAUGUUUAGUAUGAAGUUUUAAGAAAUGAACAAAAAAAUUUCAACAUGGAUAAAUCUGACUCUUAAAAGACAUAGUUAUAACCUUAUAUAUGACUAUUAACAGGUAAUAUUUGCAAAACAACUUUAGCCUAUAGAGUGUGACUGUCAAAAGCUAUAGAUGAUAACUUCAGACCAAAAAGAUUGAAGUUUCUAACUUAUAUAUGCUAACUUCAGCUUAUAAGGCAUUAAAUUUUAGGUUGACACGUACUAUAUUGUUACAUUAAAAUGAGAAUGUAGCCUUCUAAAUUCAAAAACAUUAUACACAAAAACGAAACAUGAUUUUCAUUUUAUAUAACAUAUUACAAGAUAAAAAAUCACACAAAACAAAAGAAAGCCAUAAAAAUAUUAACAAAAAUACAGAAGAAAAGCAUAAAAAAAGGAUUAAAAAACUAAGCAUCACCACCAUCAUCAGAACAAUACUCUUCAAUUUCUCGAUAUAACUAAUCAUCAUCCGAAUAAGAGAUAAUUAUAGGAUACUCGGGCAAAAGACCACAAAGUCUCAUGAGAUCGCACUUCGACUUGUUGAAUUGAUCAUGCAACUGAUUUUGUUCAAUUAUUAAUUUGUCCUUAAGAUAAGGAAGACUCUUCAAGUUAUUUUCCAUCUUCGCAUAGUCGUCCCUGAUAGGAAAUUUAAAAGAAUCAAACUGCUACACAACCUUGUCGAAUGAGGUUGAAUAACUUUCGUGACUGCGUUCAAAGUUCAACCUAUUCUGGAAUGAUUCAUUGGUAAAAAAUUAUGGUCUGCUUCUUUCCCAAUCAACAUUUAUUUGCUCAUACUUCUGCAUAAGAUUAUCCAUUGGACGUUACUUGUAACGACUCGACCGGUCAUUUUGAGAUAUAGUACGUCGUUCGGUAGUUUGAGACCUUGAUUAGCUUCACUUCAUAUUUUAUGUCUCGUACAUGUGGUCGGAAUCGAAUUUCGGUAAGCUCGAAGUUGAUUCAGAUGGAAAAUUCUCAUUUUAGAAGCUUAAAGUUGGAAGAGUUGACUAAGCUUUGACUUUUGAGUAAACGGUCUCAGAAUCGGGAUUUAAAGGUUCAAAUAGGUUCAUAUGAUGAUUUCGGACUUGGGCGUAUGUUCGGGUUGGUAUCGGACCGCUUGGGAGCAUUUCGACGCUUGUUGUGGAAAGUUGGCAUUUGAAGGUUUUACAAUUUCCAUAAGUUUGUUUUUAAGUGGAUUAUGAUGUUAUCGAUAUCUUUUUAAGGUUCCGAGCCUUGGAAUAGGUUCGUAUCGUGAUUUGUGACUUGUGCGUAAAGUUUGGCGUCAUUCCCGAAUGUUUAAGUGUAAUUCAGAUGCGUUCGUCGAAGUUUGAAUGUUUGAAAGUUAAAAGGUGGGAUUUGAUCAUUGAUUCAUGGUUUUAAUAUUGUUUGGUGUAAUUUAAGGCCUCGAGCAGGUUUGUGUUAUGUUUUGGGACUAGUUUGUGUGAUUGGAUGGGGUCCCUGGGGCCUCGGGUAUGAUUCGGAGUGGCUUCGGACCAUUUUUUCUUGAUUUGUGAUUGCUGGUUUCUGGUGUUUGGGUUGUUCAUCACGAUCGCAUAGUGUUGACUGGGAGUUGGCCAGAUCGUAGGGAUACGUUCGCGAUCGCGGAAGGCAUUGGUCUGAGGCAUGAAGGUUUGGCCUUCGCGUUCGCGGAGCUGGGCUCGCGUUAGCGUAGGCUGAUUAUGCAGAGGUUCGCGAUCGUGUGGCUGUUGUCACGUUCGCAUAAAGGGAAAUCUGGGGCAACUGAAUUUGGCCUUCACGAUCGCGAAAGUAUUUCCAUGAUCGCAAAGAGAAAGGGUCUGGGCAGACUUCAAUUUAUUUCGGGUUUUGCCUCAUUUCUUCCAUUUCUCUCUUGGUUUGGGCGAUUUUUGGAGAGCUUCAAGGGGAAAUUUUCAUAAUCUAUUACAAGGUAAGUAAUUCCCCUAUAUUGUAAGAUAAUUACAUGGAUUCUACAAAGAUUUAACAUGGAAAUUUGUGGAAAUUUUUGGGAUUUUUAAGAAAAACCUAAAAAUUAUAUUUUUGGAUUUUGACCACGAAAUUAGACAUGAAAUUUGGAAAUAAAUCAUAUAUUUGAGUUCGUGCCAUCAUGGGUAAAGUCUAUCUUCGAAACUGUUUCGAAAUCCGGGCAUGUGUGCCAGAGGGUUGACUUUAUUGACUUUUCGACCAGAGUGGGAAUCAUUAUAAAUUGUUAAAUUGUAAGUAUUUGAGUAUAUUUUGAUUGAUUUGCACGUUAUUUGACUAGUUUCGGAACGUUUGGCUUUGAGUUGAGGUGUUAGAGAGGCGUUGGAGCCGGUUAUCGAACUUCGAAGCGAGGUAAGUCUCAUGUCUAAUCUUGUGAGGGUAGAACUACCCCCUAUGCGAUGUAAUUGUUAUGUGCUACUAGUUGUGGGUGCUACGUACACACGAGGUGACGAGAGUCUGUACGUAGCUAAAUCAUAUUUAUGUCCGGAUAUACUUAGGACUUUAUCAUGUAAUAUUUGAAUUAUUUGAACUCAUUCUGCUAGCAUAAUUAAUUGAAUUUAUAAUUAAAAUUGAUAUAUAUAUAUAUAUAUAUAUAUAUAUAUAUAUAUAUAUAUUAUCACCUUGAGUUGUUGGCUAGUUAUUUGAGAAACAGUAAAAGUUAUAUUUACUUUGUGCUCAUGUACUGUAUGGUAAGCACGUGUCUCGUAAUUCGAUGAUUUCCUUCCUUUCUUGUGAAGCGGGUCGAACGCAUCGGCAGUAUAAUAGAUGCAUCUAUGGUUCGUGUCACUCGACCCUCGGCAGUGUACACAUUAUUCGGGAUCGGGCUGUACGACCUCGACAUAAUCGUGCAUUAUAUCGCUAGCAGUCCGAAUAUUCACGAGAUUAUACUUUCACUUAUGCCUGGCUUUUUAUAUGGUAUUCCUCAUUCCUUUGAUAUUGGCACUUGAUAUUUUCUGAGCUGUUGAGAUAGGAUACGAGAUUGAGAAGUUUAUAUCGUUAAAAGAAUUCAUUGAGGUAAUAAGCUUCUCAUAAGAUGGAUUACCCCAAGGAUAAUUUAGACAAGCCCCAACGUCUUCAACAAUAGCUGCAUACUCCUCCAACAUAAUUGAUUCAUGCUUUCUUCCUAACAAAAUAGACCCCACAAUAAGAAUUUUCAUAAGCUUCACAGCAUCUUCAUCACUCUCGUAUACAUGUUUGAAAUUUAUAUCAUCCUUUUUAAUUUGAUUCCAUAUCAUAUACUCUCGAAUGUCCUUCAAGGUCACACUCUUUGACUUUCCAAAAUAGCGCUUCAGAAUCUUACUUUCUCGUUUAAUUGGUUUUUCAACAUUACAUGUCGUGAUCCUCAAACCGCACAUAAUGUGAAAGUCUUCAAGGCUGAAUGACACAUCCUGGCCAAAAAUCUUGAAACUACUGGAAUUUCGAUCAUUGGUGAAUACGCAAGAAAGAAUCAAACAAUGAACCAACUUCAUGCUGCAAUGGAAAUUCUUCACAGCCAUGAUAUACCGAAAUGUACCAUUAUUCAGUUUCUCUUGUUGUGCAGUAGUAAAAAAAUAUGCAUUUUAACUCUUCAAAUCGUGGUUCCCCUUCCAAUAUCUCUCCCCUGAUUUUGUAGGCACAACAACAUGGACUAAAGGAGCUUUACGUAUUCUAGGUGCUUUAGGAUUUUUAGGUGCUUUGGAUUUUCCAGAUGCCAUCUAUUCAAAAAAAUUACAGAUGGAAAAAAUAACUUCAGAACAUUAUCAAAAUAAUCAUUAAAAACUUCAUCGCAGUUUGGCUUAAGUUAUAUUUUAAAGCCCUCUAACUUUAGAGAAAUAAAGAACAAAACUUCAGCUUUAAGAAUGCUGAAGUUCAGCAAAUACAGAACAAAAUUUCAGCUCUAAGAAUACUAAAGUUCAACAAUUACAGAACAAAAACUUCAGCCAAAACAUGCUGUAGUUUUACAAAUACAUAACUCAACUUCAACUCCAAUAAUGUUGAAAUUCAUCAAAAAUAAAACAAAACUGCACACAAAAUAUACUUUACUUUUACAAAACACAAAACAAAAUUUCAGCUCCUACAAUUAAGUUAUCCUUGAAGUAUUAUAAACUUCAGACUUUAAUAGCAUCAUCUAUUUGAGUCUCAAAAAUUUUAAAAAUUUCAACGUCUUCAACAAUCACUGAAGAAUAUAUAGAAUUUUCAUCAAAAACACAAAAACAGUUUCAAAAAACCUAAAAACACUAAUCGUAAAAGUAAAACCUACAAAACUAAUGCACUAAUCAAAGUAAAACCUAAGAAACUAUUUUAGCACAAAUAAAAAAAGGAAAACGAUUAAACUAAGAUUACUAUCAACAAACAAUCCAGAAAUUAAAUCAUAAAAUUAAUCAUAAAUUAAAACCCCAAUACACAGUUAGUGCAAUGUACAAAAGCAACCAUUAAAAUCGUACAUGUAAUUAUACUUAAUUUUGUUGCAGAAGAAACAUUUGCUAAUCAUGCAAAAUGCAAUGGCGAAAACUAUUUAAUUUCAUAGAAUAAUUAAAAAUCGCGAAGAAGGAGAUACAGACAGACAAGAGAUAAUAUGUCGUACACUUGGAGAGAAAGUGAUAUUUUAUUAAACAAGGGCAAAAUCUAUCUUUUUUUAGAAUACUUUUAAUAAAAAUAAGUACGAAUACAAAUGAAAAUACAAAACGGGUACAUGUUAAAUAACACGCGCAUGCAAUUUUUAGCAUCACCGAAUCACAUAUUUUCGUAUUUCCUCUCUCAUUUUUCUUUACCGACAGCUUUUCUCUUCUCACGAGUCAAUGGCGACCUGGAAGCUCCCUCUUCUCCUCCUCGGCCUCUCUCUCCUCGCCGUCUCCGCCACCGCUCGUCCCUGCAAUACUCUCUUCUUCUUCACCUCCACCUCCUAUUACCCUAUUCCCGCAUCAACCCAUCCUUCAAACCCUAACCCUUACCCUAAUUUCUCCCUCCAAUACCCUUCCCUGAAUUCUCCCCGAUUCCUAACUUUCUUCUUCACCACAUCCAAUCCCCUCAACGGAGACAGGAAAGUCCGAUUCAACAAACCCU
rnacentral:lncRNA from 1 species